CCACCAUCCUCCUCUCAGAUCCAAUUCAUCAUCAUCCUCAUCAAGAAGCAUGAAUUCAAGCAUGGAGUUUGAUUUCUGCGUCGUCCACGAGAGCUUCGAGCAGGAGUCUUCCUCCGCAGAUGAGCUUUUCUCUGAUGGGAAAAUGAUUCCAAGUGAGAUCAAGAAAAAGUCUGCUCACCCAAAACAGCUGGAUCAAAAUAUUGUGCCUCAUCAACAUCCUCCACUGCCAACAGCAGCAGCAGCUGAUCCAAGUGACGAAAACACAAGUAGGGCGAAAGAGAGCGGUAAAGAAAGCAAGAACAUGAGCUGCAAUGAAGCUGAUGAGAAGCAGAGUUCCAAGUCUUUUUGGGGGUUCAAGAGGAGCAGCAGUUGUGGUAGUGGAUAUGGCAGAAGCUUAUGUCCUUUACCACUUUUAUCAAGAAGCAAUUCAACUGGUUCUUCAUCAUCAUCAAGUGUAAAGAGAUCAGUAUUUUCCAAAGAGGGUCAAAAUCAGAAGCAGACUUCACAGCAGAAAUCUGCAUCCAAGAAGCUCCACUCAUCAUCACAAUCUUCUUCAACUUCAAUGAAUUAUCAAAAGCCUCCAUUGAAGAAGGGCCAAUAUGGAUCAUAUGGCAAUGCUGCUCCAUUUAAUCCUGUGUUAAAUGUUCCUACAGCUAACCUAUUUGGUUUUGGAUUAAUCUUUUCAAAUGGAAAAGAUAAGACCAACAAGAAGAAGUGAUGAUAUGUGUAUUGGCAUUCAAUGAUCAGUUCAUCUUAUAUGGGAAAAUAAAGUUUUUUUAAUUUUAUUUUCUACAUUUAACUUGUUGAAUUUUAAGUGAUUGUAAAUUAAGAGUAAAGGGCUUCGAAGAAAGAAGACAAAGAGAUAAAAAGAUGCAUCAAUUCAAGGGAGGGACAAAGGCAUAUGUAUGAUUCUAGCCACAUGCUUUGGAAGGGCUAAAAGACAAGGUAACCAUAGUCUUUCUUGGUGUCAUCCCACAUGGUGUUUUCCCUUUUUCUGCAUUAUUUGGUCUUUGUUCACACAUUUGGUCAUAUGCUGUGGUUUGGUUUUUGUAUUUUCUUUUCUAUUUUCCUGAUUGCUCUGUUAUAGCAAGAGAGAGGUCUGAUCUUUUGACUUUGAAGAGCGUUUGGCAUGUUCUUUGAACUUCGUUUGGAAUUUUAUCUGUUUUAGCUGGUUGUUAAUUUUGACUCUCAUGGAUUUUACAAUAUUUUUUGUGUGUACACACAACUAGAUGUAGUACAUGAAUGCGUUUAUGUUCAUUUGUGCAUACCCUUUGUCGCAACAAGUCAAUACCCAAAUUCAACCUAAUUUAUCCUUGUAAUGAUUAACAUAACUAACAAAACUGUUACAAUAAGGCAAAGACGGAGCUACGACAGGAACAUCUGCCACAUUUAUUUAUCUAUGUUUCUCAUCACGUAUAUACAAUUGUGACACAUAAAAAUCUUUCAUAUAUGUCGGGGUCUAACCCAGUAGAAAAGAUCUUGAUUUGCAGAUUAGUAGUCUCAAGUUCGAAUUCCCAUAAUAUCUUAGUAGUGUGGGUGAGAAACCCUCUCCCUCCCUCUUCUAGUUUAGACUAUCGCUUGUAUUAUAAAUAAAUAAAAUUCUCUCAUACCUAAGACCUAUCAAGAGCAUCUUGCCCCACUAAAUUUUUAUUUUUAUUUUUUUGAGAAAAGAUGAACUUAUUAAUACUCAUCAAAGUAAUGAAAGAGUUACCAUGUAAAACUGUGACUUCGUUAAAACCUUCCCAAAGAAAACCACGUGGAUAGAGUCAGCAUGUAAAGUAAUGACACAGUCUUGCCCCACUAAAUUGAUUUUAAAGAAAAAAUUGUAGGUUCAACUUUACAUCUAUAUAUAAAGCAAAAUGCAGAGAAUGGUAAAACAUUCAAAAUAUCAGAAAAUACCCUUGGUUAAUGAGGAUAAUAUGGUAAAUUCAUACUUUUUUAUAUUUAAAAAAAUUAAAACUAAAAGAAAAUUCAAAUAAUUGAUCCUAUUUUUAUGGAACACAAUUACCCAUUAUCUUUUUUAAUUCUAAAAUAAAUUAAAAAUUUUUAUUUUAAAAAAAAAAAAAAAACCUCUCGCAGGCGCGAAAGUGCACGCGAAGAGGCGAGUGAGCUAUUAUACAACUACGUUUUUAUCUAUAGCCUUUGUAAUUCACAAUUUAUUUAUUUUUUGCAAUAAUUUACAAUUAACCCUGAUUUUAUGGAAAAAUGCCUCGAGAACGGUUGUAAUGGGUUGCUUGGAAAAUACUCUCAAUCAAGAUAUUAACUUCUUUUGUUUGCUAUUGUGUUGAAAUUUUUUUAACCUUAAAUUGUUGCUCGAAGUCGUAAGCUAUCCUGGGCAUCGGUUCAAGUUUCUUCAAAAGCAAGGGAACAAACAAGUAAUUCCAAUAAUUUCCUAGUCAAGAAAAAAGGAAUAAGAAAAAAUAAAUAAAAAUUUCGAUGAAUUGUCAAUUCAAGCCAUUCACCAUCAUGUCCCAUGCCUGUGAAUAAUUUUUUUUUUAAUGAUUAGAACACUUCCACCCAUUUGCCAUGGCAAAGGGUAGGACAAGGUAAGGGCUGUUACUAUUCACGUGAAUAGUGGCAGCCUUUGUAAAAGGCUUGUGGUGUUUCCACAUUAUCAUGGCAACCCGAAGGCAACUACUAUUCAUAUGAGAUGUAAGGAGAGAAAUUUGUAUAGAGUUUUGGUGUGAGAAGUGAAGAACAUGACUUAGUAUUUAUUAAAAAAAAUUCUGAAAAUUUUAAUAUUUUUUCAGAUUUUUAUUUUAUUUUUUCGUUGUUGACGUCAACAAACUCAAGCAACAGCCUAAGCUAUUCUUGCCUUUGAGCCUGUCCAGACUUGUGAAGCCCACCAGUUGCCCAAGCUACUUAUGCUCGCUGGAACAUGAAAAUGGGGCUUGGGCCCUCUCCUGCCCUGACCAAGGCUGUCCGCUAAAAGUGCUCUUAGUUAAGAGGUGACAUUUGCAAAAAGAGACUAGAUGAAAAUUAAAUAUCAGCAAAUGGGGUAGACUUAUUCACUUCAUAGUUGGUAGUGAAGAUGAAUAAAUUUCAAUGACAACCAUAACAAAUUAAAGGCAUUUUCAUCUUAAUAUGCAUAGCAUAUUUAUAAGAGAUAUUUAGUUAUAUACCUAUUCUUACCACUAGUGUUAUAGAUAAACACUAUACCAUUUAGUUUCUAUAAACAACCCAAAAAAAACCCUACUAUUGCAAGAAAUUGGCCUUCAUAAUGUAGUCUCAAGUAUAUUUACAGAUGAUACAUAGUAGCUCAAAGGUCUCAAGAUGUCAAAGCCUUACUCGUAGAAUGUUAAAAAAUAGUUAGGAAAGCCUUGACUUGAAAGAAAUUCUAGAAUUUAUUCUCAAAGAUGUUGCUCUGAGCAAAAAAUCUUGGCUUAUGGUGUUCUUUUUUCAAAUAUUUGUAAUUUGGUUCCUAUCUCGAUUAGAUUGUACAUCGUAAUGUACGCAUUGGAGCUUAUUGCAAGAAAGUUCCAUGGUUUAAUGAAUCAAAAUUAUUUCUUCCAAAUUCAAUUGAGAUGAACACAUCAAUGUGUCAGUACAAUAAGAUUUUAUUUUGGACUGUUGUUGUAUGUAGUGACGGAAGUAGAGGUUUCACUCCAAAAUCAAUUGGCAAUAUAGGAGAGUAGUCCAACUUGUUAUAAGCUCAUACUUUAGGUGUUUCAACUUUUCAAUGUGGGACAAAUACAACUUCGUUGUAAGUUUUCAUUCUUCAUCCAUUCAUAAUUGUCUUGGAUUCACAACUCUUACACGUAGAUCACUUGUUAUGGCUUGACAUACAACCAUGCUAUAACUUGUACGUUUUGUUGAACUUUUGACAUUGGAAAAAUGGAGAUAAAGGGAGAAAACACAAGUUAACAUUCAAGAAUAAAUAACUCGUCAGUCUAAAGAAUUCACCAAAGAUAUUUGAGCUAGGAAAUAAGAAAAAAUCCAUCUAUUUAAAAGAUAAAGGCUAUAAAAUUCAAUUAAAUCUGGAUGUCUCAUUACAUUAGGAAUGAGGGGUUUAAAUAGUGUGUUCAUGCAACAACCCUCCAUUAAUAGGUUCAUUCUCAUAAAUAACUAUAUAUGUACCAAGAUUUGGAACAAUGCAUUCUUUAUCCCAAUAUAAUUUUAAGGGGUAUAUUUAAUUGAGAUUUUAAAAGACUAUUUAGGGAUUAAAAAAUUCUAGUGGAUUUAAGCAAAAUAUAAUGACUUGUAGAAUUUUAUUUAUGGAUUUCUAUAAUCAAGAUUUUUUACUUAUGGAUUUAAAGAUGGGAGAUUCACUAUUAUACCCAAUAUGGGGGCCCAAAUUAUAAAAAUAUCCUAUAUAAAAUGGACUUUAGAAACACACCCAAAGCCCAUUUACAACAUAACAAAAAAGCUUUUAACUUCUUAUAAAUUACAAAACUGCCAUCAAUUUCUUAAAACAAGCUCAACCCCAAAAUCUCAUAAAAAUACCCAAAACACUCAAUAGGGCAUCAAAGUAAUUUAAUAAUCAAUAUUAAAUUCAAUAAGGCCAGCUAUCAUUUUGUGGGUUUUUUUUGGGUUUGUUUAUAGGAAUUCAAUUGUGUAGGGUUUAUUUAUAAUAUUAGUGCUAGAAAUGGGUAUAUCACUAAAUAUCUCUUUAAAGAUUUCUAUCAUAAGAUUUAUAAGAUUAGAAGGACACAUGGAUUUCUUCUGAGGUCAACAUAAGUUUUUUUAGAAAAAAUAGACAUAUAAAAAUGAAACGCUAAUAUUAUUUCAUUGUUGGUAUGUCUUUCUCAAUAUAAAAAAAAUUAAUCUAGAACUAAGAAAUAAUAUCAAACAUUAAUCUAAAACUAAGAAAUAAUAUUAAACAUUAAUUAAAAAAUCUUAAAGAUCAAGAACAUAAUACAAAAAAACUCUCUCUAUGACCCUCCAUGUUUUCUACCUAGGCAGCCCACAGCCCCACCACUCUCUCACUCAUUUCUCUCUCUCUUCUCUCAGCCCACCCACAAAGCCAAUCUUCACUCUCGACAGCCUACCCUCCCACAACUACCACACACACUCUCACCAGUGUAUUGUGGUCUGUGUACGAGAGUCACAAAAAGAUUCAAUCUUGUCCAUUCAUUUGGCACCCUUUUUUUUUUUUUUUUACAGCUUAUUGAAAAUAUUAUCAAGAGGCUAGGACUUUUGGGAAAGAAGAAAUAAAAAAUUGGUAAACAUUGAACGAAUAAAAUGAGAGAGAGCGAGAGAGAGAGUGUGUGUGUGUUAUAUAGUUUGUAAAGUUCUGAACUUUCAACAUACAAAGUUACAAGGGUCUACAAACAAGCUCUCGCUAUCAGUGUGCUGCUCGUGUUGGGUUUUUGCUUUUGGGUUAUUUGGGAGUUGGGGAAGGUUGAGAAUCUUUUAAAUUGGGGGUUUGAAGGUGAUGGAGAAUUCACAAGAUUCAUGCAACACAAGGGGAGAUGAGGAUGAAGGGAAGGUCGUGGCUUAUUAUACCCCAACUGAAGGAAAAUUUUGGGGCAGGGAUUUCUAAAAGCCCAUGAAGCUAUGAGAGAACAAAUCAUCUAGCCUAUGCAUAUCAAAUAUGAAAUCAAAUAAAAAGGAAGCAAGAAAAUAGCUACAGAUUCAUGUAAAGUCUCAAUUUAGGUCCCAAUCUUUAUAGGUCUAUGAAAGUUUGCACCAUUGACACUAAUAUCACAUAUUAAAGAGAAGGUAGAUUAUAGGUCUAUGAAAGUUUGCACCAUUGACACUAAUAUCACAUAUUAAAGAGAAGGUAGAAAGUGAACAUACCCUUGAAGCGAAUCUUGAAACCAAUCGUGUUCAAGUAGAGGGAUUGGUCCCUUAGUUGUUGAUUCUCCACUUUGUUCUCCAAAUAGGCACAAUGAGGUUAUGCCUCCCCAAAAAGUCUUCACCAUGGAUGGAUGAGAAUAGGAGAAUAAAGAACCAAGAGGAGAAGAUGGGUGCUAGCCUCUUCUUCCUUUAGAUGGCUGGCCAAGAGAGAGAAGGGAGGGAGGUUUGAUGUUUCCUCUCUACCUCAAUGUCUAACUUGAAAAACCUUAGGGACGUGUGGUAUUGUGGUCAUGAAUAUAUAGACACAUAUGUCACACAUGUGCCCCUAAGGAACCUAUGUGUCACACCCUCCCUAUCCUUAGCUUUUUUGGGCUACUUUUUUCUACCACAUUAAUCCCAUAAUGUGUCACACCUUGCCUAAGUCUAUAAGGUCCAGAAUAUUUAAGUCAUGUAGGACCAAAACUAAAGUUUCAUAACUUUAAUUAAAUCAUUAAACUAAUCUAAUUAGUUUAAUUGGUUUUAUGACUUAACAAAUUAAAUCAUUAACUUGUCUAACAAGCAUUGGUCCUAGUCAACCUUAUGUUGAUCGUUUCAAGUCUCAAAUCAAAUGGUUUGACCUUUUGACUUUAACCUUGACUUUGACUUUUGACCAAGCCACAAAAUCAUUUAUUCUCUUUUAAUUCUUGAUCCAUACAUUUUCAGUGUGCGAUCUUAUAGUAUCUAAUUAGUGAGGCCGUGGGUAAGAAUAAGUUCUUCUAAAUUGAAUGUGAAUUGUAUCCCUCUAUACAAUUCUCUCUAUUAGUGAAGGCUAAUUAUAAUUAGUCCUUACAGGGCUUCCACAAACCAUGAGUGACACCUAGCAGUAUGUCAUGGCUACCCAAGCUAAAUAGAAUUCAUUUUAGAGAACCUAGUCAAUUUGUGAUUACAAUGCAAUUCGGUCAUUCUCUAACACAGUAAUCUAGGUCGUGCUGUUGGGAUAUGGUUAACUCAUGUCAAAUCCCUAACAUGACAUUUUUGGGUUAUAUGAUUCACUUGGAUGUAUUGCAAACAUUCUUGUUUCAGUUCUCAUCUUUUACUUUGGCCAACGAUUUGACGAAUCAUAUCUUUAGAGUAUUCUCUCUUCUUACUAAAAGUAGAGAUUUCUUGUUGUACAUUCACAUGUCUCUGUGCACGUGCUGAGUGUGACAACCUGACCCAAUUUUAACUAUUCAUCUAAAUUAUUUAAUUGUGAAAUUACAAUUUUGCCCUUGGGUAGGGUCAUUUUGGUCACUUUUUAAUCUGAUAGGAUUUUGGAGAACUGGUUAGCACCAUUGCGUAGAGUGCGUCGAUAUGAGUUCAUAGACACAUAGUGGGCUCAAAUCGGAGUUUCAACGAAGAAGUUAUGAUCAACGGAAGUGCAGUAGUACAACCGUAAAUAUUUCAAAGUUGGAUUUUAAAAACCUCAUAUCAGUUCUCUCUCUCUCUCUCUCUCUCUUUAAAAACCUCAUAUCAGUUCUCUCUCUCUCUCUCUCUCUCUCUCUCUCUCUCUCUCUCUUUAAAAACCUCAUAUCAGUUCUCUCUCUCUCUCUCUCUCUCUCUCUCUCUCUCCUCAUAAAAACGAACAGCCGGCCACUGUUUUGAUUGUCAGUUUCUUCCUCUGACCACCUUUGGGGACAAGACCGGUCCCAAACGAACUGGCCCGCCUUCCUCUCUCCGUCCCAACCCACCUCCGGUGAAGCCAGCUGCCCCGGCACUGGCAAAAACUCGAUAAAGACCCGAUUUUUCUCAAAACUUUCCAACUUCAUUUUCGACGAUUCCGGCCACCAUUUUUGUCGAUCUAGGUAUGCUUUCUCAUUCUUUCAACGUGAUCUAGCUGAUGGUUGGGUUGGUUAGGAUUGAUUUUGAAGUUUUGAAACCUAAGUUUUGGUUGGUUUUCGGCUCGAAUUUCCGACAAGCGCCGGCCACUUUAUGCAUUACUUUUUUCAACAUAUUGGUAUUAAUUAAAUAAGAUAAUAAGGGAGGUAUCACAUCUCUUGAUAUGUGUGGGGGAUGAGGGCAAUAGUUAUGGUGGUGGGAAUUCUACUAAUAACAAUGAUGCUAAUUUGUAGAAUGACCAUUUUCCAUUAUGGAAAUAUGUCACAAAGCUUGUAAGAGAUGGAAAAGCCGGUGGCAAUACUUCAUUUCUAUGCAAUUGUUGUCAAAGGAUCAUAAUCUAGAGUUGAGGCUCAUUUGUUGAAAAUUAAAGGGUAUGGAAUUGUUUGUUGCUCUAAAGUUACAAAUGCUCGUUUGAUAGAGAUGGAGAGAGUAGUAGAAGAAUCGGAGUCGAGAGUGAAAUGAUUUUUUACCUAGUGAUGUUCCUUUACCCACCUUGAACGCUUCAAACCGAGACAGUUUAUGUAGUGGUAAUGCUUCUUGUUUGAUUUCAAUUUGGUGUGACACAAGUACUAGUGACUCAAAGAAGAGGAAGACAAAUUAUGUUGAGAAAGCUUUGAACAAUAAUCUUAGAGAACAGUUAGAUAGUGAGAUUUCAAGAAUAUUUUAUACGGCCUAAUUGUCAUUUCAAUUUCCAAGAAACCCCCAUUACACGAAUGCCUUUAGGAUUGCUUGUCAUAAAACACUUCCAGGUUACCUUCCCUUCUGUUACAACAUGUUGAGAACUACACUUCUCUAAAAAGAGAAGAGUAACAUUGAGGAGUGUUUAAAACCAAUGAAGAGGGCAUGACAAAGAUUAGACACAUUUUUUGGACACCAUGCGUAAUUCAUACCCUCAUUAUUGCUUUAAAGAACAUAUGCUCACCAUCUCCAAGAAAUAAAGGAGUUUAUGAGCAAUGUGGUUGGAUUUCAACAAUCUCUAGUGAUGCUUGGUUUAUUAAAAACUUUAUUAUGGACCAUAAUAUGAGGUUGUCUAUGUAUAAUGAGCAUUGUAAGUUAAAGUUUCUCUCCAUUGCGGAGACACGCUUUGCUUCUACAAUUGUGAUUCUUAAAUGAUUUAAGCAAGUGAAACAAGGCUUGGAGCAUUAGUGAAUAAUGAGACAUGUAUAAAGAAUAUGAUGUAGCAAAAGCAAGAACGGUGAAGGAGAAAAUAUUGGAUGAUUUCUUUUGGGCCGACAUUGAUUACAUUCUUAGCUUCACUUCUCUGAUAUAUGAGAUGCUUAGGUUGAGUGACACGGAUAUGCCUUGUCUUCACUUGGUUUAUGAGUAGUGGAAUAGUAUGAUAGAGAAAAUGAAGACAACUAUUUAUCAUAAGAAGCUCAACCAACCUACUCAAGAGUCAAAGUUCUUUGAUGUGGUGCUUGAAAUUUUGGUGGAGCGAUGGACCAAGAGUACCACACCACUCCAUUGCUUGGCACACUCUUUAAAUCCUAAGUAAGUCUAUUUAAUUAAUAAAUUGAAGUUUGUCUUUAUCAUUAUAAUUUUGUAUUCUUACUAUCUACAAUUUGGUAUAUAUUGCAAGGAAUGGCUUGAUAUGACUUCUAUCGUGUUCCUCCACACAAUGAUAUUGAGACUACAAUAGAGAGAAAAAAAUGUAUUGAGAUAUUCUUUUCUAAUGAAGUGGAGCGAAGAAUGAUAUCAAUGAGGAGUAGCCUCUUUUCUACACCAAACCUCCAAACCAUAGCCUUGAAGCUACUUGGACAUCUUUGUUCCUUCUCAUGUUGUGAAAAAAAAUUGGAGCACAUAUAACUUCAUUCACUCUAUUAGGAGGAACAAGAUAACACCACAAAGAGCCGAAUAGUCUUUAUGCACAACAUUCUUCGUAAGGUGAAAACUUGAAUAUAAGGAAGGUGAAACUCAUAUGGGGUAUGUUGGAGAGGAUGCAUUUGAUUUCAUGGAUAUGGACAAUGUCGGAGUGCUUGAGAUUGCAAACAUCUCUCUUGAUGAACCGGAAUUAGAGGCUAUCUUAUUUACCGGUGAUGACAAUGAUGAAUUAUGUUAAAGAUUUGGAAAGUGGUUUCUCAAUGUUCUAAUUUAUUUUAUGUUGCUUGUUUUUAGAAUUGAACAAUCCUAUCGAGACUUGUAUUUUGUGUUUUAUUUUAUGCAUUGAACUUAUGAUGGAUAUUUAUAACAUGAUAGAUGAAAUAUCAAUUUUUCUAUUUAUAUUAUUUUAAUUGUUGUAUUGGUGCCGUACUCAUAUCCUAAUUUUUAAAAAUUUACCGUAUUAGUGCACCCAUAUCCAUAUCAGUGCAACAUAGGUGAAAAUCUUCAAAUCUUUCAUCAUUAUAACUUGAAUUCCUUUUCUCUGAAUGCAAUUUUCAAGAGAGGAAAAAAUUAGAUAAAGAGGGUCACUUCAAAGAGAAAAAAAAUUAGGAAUUGUAGGGAGAGCAUGCCCUACCUCCACUUAAAUCAAUCACGUUCUUUCUAUCAAUCUGGUGCUAAGACAAGAACUCAUUAUGAAAAAUAAUGGCAUGGCUCUUUGUUUUUGAAUUUUUAGAAAUUUUUUGUGGACACUAAUCUUUGAGAAAAACAAACAAAGAGAAAGGGAAAGGUUGGGUGUUUUCUUUGGUGGGGUUGUAAAGUUUUCGGAUUUUAGGAAGGGAAAAUUGGGAUCUAGACUUUGUUCAAGAGAUGGGAGGCGAGAGAAAUUGGUGACUUAAAAUUCUUUUUGUAAUUAUCAAUCGGAAUUAAGAGGAUUUGAACUUGAGAGCUCUCCCAACAUUAGAUGAGGGGUCACUAAUAUGCUUUUGAGUUCGAAAAUUAAAUGAAUAAGUUGGGGGAUAAAUUGGUCACUGAUCUGGUAUGGUUUAAAAAAUCAAACUAAUUCUAUUUAUGGUUGAAACUUGAAAUUAUGAAUAGUAGGGUUUACGGUAUUUCAGGCAUGCUUGGUUUCGACCAUAUAAAAAACAUGCUUGGUUGAUACUUGAAAAUUGCUCACAAGUCAUAUCCUUCCAGGAUACCAUUUUGACAUUAUCCUGCGGCGAGUACGACUUGACAUUUUGGGUAGCGAGUAUGGUGAAGUGUAGUGAGAGUAUCGAUGUUUGAAAAGUUGAAAACACGGGCUUGCAGUCCUAGCUAGGGCGCAAGAUAGCAGCAGACAGACGUAGACCCAACGAUAUCUCGGAUUUUCUAUUUCCAAUUUUGUCCCUAUUCCCCAACAAACAACCCCCCAAACAAUGACAAUAUUUUAUUCUAACCCCCAAAACUUGAGCAAUAUUUUAUUAUUCGCGCUCUCUGCGGUGUUGACCACCCCUACACUCUACAGUGCGCUAGGGGUGUACACUGUUGUCGUCCUCUGCUUAUCCUACGCACACGCCACUGUCACUGACAAGCCAACGCGUCUUUUGCAGAGAAGAGACUGAGAGCCAGCAGAAAAAGAAAGGGCUUUUGGAAUCCUUUGAGAAUAAUGGCAGAGGAGGAGCCUUCUCGAGCUACAUGUUGCUUUCGAUCUCUCGGGGUUCACAGCAGACGAUGUGUCGUAUGUAUGGUUCUUUUUUCCUCGGCGCUUUUCGUGAUCGUUAUUACAUCUUCAGCAUCAUCAUCAUCACCGUCAAUCUGAAUUUCUUCAGAUUCAAUUGCUUUUCUCUGCUCAUUACGUGCAGAUGUGUAGAAAAAGGGAUACAUUUUUAUUGUACGUCGUCGUCUUGCUGUGAAACGUUGCUUUCGUGGCUCUGCAUUUUUAUUUUGCGGACACUUGUUGCUGUGACUUUUUGUUCUUUACUCGCUUAAGGGUUCCAAUUAUUGUACGGACACUAAUUCCUCCUCUGGGUUUCUUGUUUUUCUUAUGUGUUUUUGGGUCUUUGGUUUUGGUAUUUCUGGAAUGAAAAAUUGGGGGUUUGGAGGAAAUGUGAUUGCUUUUUGGUGAAAUGGGGUGUAAUAAAAUGGUUUUUUUUUUGGCUUGCAUUGAAAAUGGGGAACUGGGUUUGGUAGAGUUCAUGAAGAUUUGAGUUUCUGGGUUCACAAGCUCUCGACUUUGGCUAGAGGUUGGAGUUUUUGCUUUGAAAGAACGAUUUUGAGGUGUUGUUUUGUGGUGGAGAAGAAAAUGAAUGAUAGUACAGGGAAAACGGGGUCGUCUUUGGCAAUAGCAGAGAAGAAGACGCAUAGGCCUGGUGGUUGUGUUGGCAUUUUCUUCCAGCUCUUCGAUUGGAACCGCAGGUUCGCCAAGAAGAAGCUCUUCUCCAAGAAAUUGCUUCCUCCAUGUUAGUCUUUUUCCAUCACAUAAAACUGCAUUUCUCUUCUUUAGAAGCUUCACUUUUAACUGUUGUCUAAUAAAAAAGGAAAAAGAAAAAUAUGUUUGAUGACGUUUUUGUGUUAUUUUGAUAUGUAUCAGCUCGUGCAAAACAAGUUUCAAAGAAGUUUAGAGAUGAGAAGAUGCCCAAUUCCAAGCUUCAUUUGGUAAGCCUAUAUGUUAACUUGUAGAUUUAGAUUCUUGCAUUUCUUGUACUUUUCUUGGUGGGUUUGAUUGUUUUAACACUAUUUGUUGUUCGGCAUGUUGUGUGUGUUUGAAUGAUAGAUUGCUGAUGAAAACAGUGGGGGUUUCCCAAAUGUGAAGAAAAAUGUGAAUCGCAGCGUUGAUUUUGAGCACAAGCAUGAACUGCGAGCUCCAAGUUUGGUUGCUAGGCUAAUGGGUCUUGAAUCCAUGCCUGCCACACGUGAGAACCCCAAGAAAGCUUCAUUUACUGAUGCUUGUGACAGUGGAGAGAAGACAUUUUUGGAUAAUCAUAGUGGUUCUGAUAGAGCAGAAUUGAAUUUGGAGACAGGAAAUGCAAAGUCUGAAUCAAGGCCUCAGAAGCUGCAGAAAAUGGGACCGUAUGAGAAAAGGGCAGUGACUAGGUUUGGAGCUGAGGCACUUCAAAUUAAGAGUGUUUUGUCACGCUCGAGAAAACAUCACCCAAAGCUUGCUUCCCCAGCGAAGAGUCCAAGGAUCCCCUCUGGGAAGAAUGCUUCCCGAACCUCUCGGUUGAUUGAUGCUGCUACUAGAAUUUUGGAACCUGGACUGCAGUCUACAAAUAGAGCAAAAUGUGCCAUCACUUACUCAAGUUCUUUUGAUUAUCCUUCUGUGGAUGAGGUUUUGGCAGAUGGAACAACAGUUCAAUCACCAGAGAUUUCUAGCCAAGCAUGUUAUAAUGUUGGUGCAUCCAAUUCUCUGAUGAGCCAGACUUCUUGCAAAAGCUGUGGUAAUUUAGUAGAUGUUGUGGAUUUAAGAUCAAAAGUGGAGGAACAACAACCUGCUUUCCCAUCCUUGGCUUCAAAUAUUGUCAAUGGCUCUUCGCUGGUAGCGGAACAAAAUAAGCCCAGGUCAUCCAUGUCCUCCUUUGGGCAAGAAAAGGAUGCAAUUUUUCAGGGAACUCGAAACCAACCAGUAUCAGUUUCUGGUCAAAAGGGAAUGCGAUCCCUUGGUGAACCUGUUACAGAAAGGAAGUCUAUGCCUCCCGAAGGUCAAGCUUCAUGGCAGUUGUCAAGUCAACCAUGCAAGCCUCAGAGUGAAGAGGCAUCUUCUAUUACCUUAAAGAACAGGUCUCAGAUGCAGCAUCGUAUGUCACUAGGAAGGGAAAGAAUUCCACCUAGAUCAAAACUAAAUAAUCUUGAUAGCAGAAGAGCCUCAUCGGCUGCAAAUGCUGUCAGAGAGACCAAAGACUUCGUUGCUUUGAACCGGAAUCUGAGCGGUCGCGCCCAACCAAGGGUGCCUACCAAAGCAAACGAUUCUAAGUUUGACACAGAGAGGAAAGCUUUUACUGGGAAAGAUGAUUACCCAUCACAGCUUAGGACCACAAUACGGAAGAGGAGAAUGAUCAAUGUUAGCGGCCAAGUUGAAAGUAGUGGUCUUGUUAGUUCAAGUUCCACAAGACAAGUGAAUUAUCAGUUCGAUGUGCCAACUCGAAAAGGAUUAGGAAAUGGUGCUCGCUUGAUGAACACCACUUCUCCUAAGAGUAAAUUACCCGGUCAGAGAGAAGGUAACAGAGCUAAUGGAAAUAAGGACACUGAUGUUAUUUCAUUCACAUUUAAUUCCCCUAUCAGGAACAAGACUGGAAUCCCCACACAAAUGGAUGGUCCAAGCAUGGACAAUGGCACAAAGCCAUCUUUCCAAAAACCAUUGUCCUUGAGUGGAGAUGCUAUUGGUGCCUUUCUGGAACAAAAAUUUAGAGAGCUUGCUUGUCAAGAAGAUGAUGACUUGGCAGCAGGUGCUUCAUCCAAGAGGUCCACUGCUAUGAUUCUUCAAGAGCUAAUAUCUACCUUGACUGCCGAUCAUUCUCUUUCUCAUGAUGGACACAUGGCCAGUGCAGAUAUAGAAUCACCUGUAAGUUCUCUUUGUUGUUUUUAUUGACAUAAUCCCAACUGUAACAACUGUUUAUACCAAAAAUCAAAUGUUGAAAGUGUGACUACUGAACUGCUUAGAAUAUAUUUGACUAUUUUGAGAGAACAGUGUUUCUAAAUUUCGGCUUUUACUGACAUCGUAAUGAAACCAGAGGACCUUAAAUAGAAAAUAACUUCACUAUUAUAGUUUUAGAUUUCACUGUUUCUGUAUUUGAUAACUGCUUUGUUGGCCCAUUUCUCAUAUUAUGAUUAAAACUAUUUGGUUCUAGUAUUUUUCUAAUAUGAUGGGUUUUAGGAAUUGCGUCUUAGAUGUACGAUUGUAGCUCUCAAUAUGGAACAGACAGUACUAGGUUAAUUAUAGUAAUAUCUGAUGUGACACAUUACCUGUCAAUCAGAGUGGGCCAAUACAUCUCUCAUGGAUAUCCUUUUUUUUUCUUUAAAAAAGUUAUUUUAACAUAACCCCUCCAUAUCUAUUAGUAUGGGGGCCUAUUAGUAUUGGAUUGGAUACUCCAUGCCUGAAACUUUUGUAGUAUAUGUGCUUCAUAGCCAAUCAACUCAAUUCUCCAAUCAAAACUAUCUUAUCAUUUCCCAUAAGGUUAUUAGAGUGAGAUGGACGAGGUAGAGACUAGCUUUUUUGAGUAUUUUAUUAAAAUCAAGUUUUCUAUAAGAAUAAAGGAUGAAUUGAGUCUGUCAUGGAAAAAGAACAGGAAAUGAACUUGUUUAGUGGAGGUGUGAUGUCAGAGGUAAGACCAAUCGGUGCAAAAUGAGGAAAGAAUUAAUGUGAAAUGGCCUUGGGAUAGAGGUUAAUGGACUGUGGGACUCCAAACCCCGGCUGGAGUUUGAGGUUUUGCACCUGUGUUGUUGAUCAACUGGUGAGGGUGAAAAACGUUUAACAUGUUAUUUGCUUCGCCUGAAGCCAUAUCUCUUAAAGUAUCUGCUUAAAUGUCUUAGAUGUUAAUGCUCGAUUAGCAUUGUCAUGCAAAUUUAGUUGUUUAUAUUGUCCUUUAUUCCCACCAUUAUGUUCUGUUGGAAAAUGGGAAUUAUUGUCAAUCUCUGUUAACUUGCCUGUGUUGUGGCUAACUUGCACAUAUUACUUUUGUUGUUUUUAUUAACUUCGGAUUUGUCUUGUGUUUGACAAAAUGGUGCUCCGGUACACAUUUCUGGACUCAUUUCUUGACACAUGUCGUGUUCCUCCUCAGGCUCAAAGAAAGACAGAUAGGUCAGUUGGAAUCUUUCAUCAUGGUGAUAGUCUGAGCCCUGGGUCUGUUCUUGAAGCUUCAUUUUCUUCUAGUAGUCUGGAUGAUAGCUCAGGUAGAGUACUUGAAUAAUAGUAGAAAUUGCAAGGCAAAAACAGAUACAUAAUUUACUUUGCUAAAAUCUGCUACAUAAUUUCUACUGUCUAUAGAUGUCCUUUAACCUUCUAAAUGUGAUUUCUUUUUUCAAUGUGAUAAGAUCCUUCAAAUGUGAUUUACAUAUUUUUCAUGCUUCUGGUUCCAGGGCAUAGGUCCUUCUACCCUCACUUUAUGGAUUACUCUGAUGAUGCGUUGCAACUGGGACAUUAUGGUGAUUUGAUAGACUCUGCCACUUCAGUGGACAGAAAGAAGACUGGUAGUGAGAUGAUGACUGCCCUUGUCAAUAAUGUAUCUAGGAUAUUACAUAGCAUCAAUGCUGGUGGGGAAAGAUUGAGAGGAGACAAGCUCACCCAUGCAAAUGAAGUUAUCUUGAAAGCUGAACUAUUGUUUGGAGAUGUGACUCAGCAUAAAAUGGAUGUAAUGAAAGGUCUUUUCAUCAGUCCCUUGCUUCUUGACUUGGAAACUAUUGCCAGCAGCAUGAUGAAAAUUUUCGAUGUGUUAAGUAGUUUUGGGGACACCAAAGAGGGAACUAAAAUCAGCGAGUUCCUUUUUGAUUGUGUCAUAGAGCAUUUAGACUCAAAAUAUGGUCGAUACUGUAACUCCGGAUUCAGAUUUUGGGAAAAAUUGCCUUUAUGCAUGAACCGUAAGUUGAUGAUUCAAGAGGUUGAAGACGAGAUGCAAAAGUGGACAGAUUUGGCUGGAAUGAUUCCUGAUGAGAUGAUAGAAUGGGAUAUGAAUCAUGCCCUGGGGAAGUGGACUGAUUUUAAUAUUGAAGCAUUUGAGGCAGGUUCUGAAAUUGACGGGGACAUUCUUCAAAGUCUGGUUAACGAAGUUGUGGUAGAUCUCCGUGAGUGCAGGCUGGGUUCCUUGUGAAUUUCAUGUAGCCUGACCCUUUUUGAGUUCCUAAUAUCAGCCAUGCUACAUGCAUGUUUGUUAAACCAAGCAAAAAUUGUAUUCUUUUGUACAAAUCAAUGGAAGGUUUAGUUCAAUAUUAAGUUAUUGGAUGCUGUGGAUGAGCAUUGUGGGUAUAUUUUGUUUCUUGAAUGUGAUUGGUCUUAAAAUAUGCAAAACAGUUUGAAACAAAAAUUCUGUGUUCUUGCCUCAGGUCUGCCUCCUUUGGGGUUGAUGCUGUGUAUUCUGUAGUUUUUUUUCUUUUUCUUUUUUCGGCAAUUGGUGUAAUGUGGAAAGAUAAUCAAAUUUGUACCACUCUGAGUUGAUGAUCAUCUUAAAUCAGACACAAUUUGUAGUAAUUAGUCAAAAAAAACAAUGAGUUGGUAAAUUAAGCAUUUUUAUUGACAUCAAAAUCGAAAGGGGAAAAUUUUGAAAUUGGCUAAAGAAUGAAAGAUUUAUGUAUAACAUGGGGGCAUGAUGCCAAAUACAUCCAAGAGUUGAAACAAUUUAUAGCAUAUUCCUUUUUAAAUUUUCAAACCCAAAUACUAGUUACAUCCAGAGCUUUACAAUACAUCAAAUUCUCAGGCAAACAAAAGAAUUUGCACCCACUCUGACUCGAUGAUCAUCUUCAGUUGGAACAGAAUUUGCAGAACUUAGUAAAAGAAUCAUAUACUAAAACUCUCAAACUCAUAUACUCGUUAGUUACAUCAAAAGAGCUUUACAAUCCAUCAAAAAAACCCAAAAGAAUUCUCAGUGGUAAUCAAUCACUCAGGCAAACCAUGAACCAAAAGAAUUCAUAUUAUGAAAAAUAAGAAUGAACUCAAAAGUUACGAAAAAAUAGUAAUAAAAAAAAAAAGAUUAGGCAGCAAAGCAGCAAACUUUGAAAAUCAGAACUGCCUGUACCCCAAAACAGUCUUGGGAAUUGCUCUGCCAUUCCCAUUCCUCCCUCCCCUGUUUUCGCCACUAAUAGCAUUAGCAGCGGCAGAAGACAAACCCUUCAAUUCCUCCAUACUCGCAUAGCUCUUCCUUGCCAUCAACCCUCCGCCAUUGUUGUACCUCUUCUCCCCUGCGCUAGCCGACUUACUCCCUCGCGAAUUGGACAAAACCCCAUUCGCUUUCGACCAGGACUUCGCUGGCGGGGUCAUCUCAAGCGUCGACGGAAGCCUUGUUGGUGGCUUGCGGUUCUCUUUUCUCAACACAGCGGAGAAAUCAGGCACUGAUUGAGCCACAGCAGAGGGCCCUUUACGCGAUUUGGUCGUAUUGGUCUGAAAUUUGACUUGUUUCUUCAACGGGCUCGGUUUCAAUUCGGGUUCUUCGGCCUCUUCCGGCCUCAGAUGCUUCCUUCGCAGCUUUGCUUCUCUGAGCUCCGCGUAGGCUUUGUAUCUGGGUCCUCUCUCCAUGAUGCUCUCUGUGAUGAGCCGCAGAGGGACUGGCUCUUGGUCUGGUUGUGGGUUCUGGGAGAGAAUGAGGGAGAUGGGAUCGAGGGCUUGGAAGAGAUAUUGGAAAGCAGGGUUUGGUUGAUGAUGGGUUUGUUGCAGAGAGCCGUUUGUCGCUGCCAUUGUUGAUGAAUUUGAGGUCGCGCUGUGUGCAGAUAUCUUGGAUUUUGGUGGAUUUAAUAAUGGCUUCUGUAGUUUCCUCUUGCGCUUUUACUUACUUUGCAAUUAAAGAUUAAAGAUUUUGGAUUCCAACGGUCGAAAAUAGGAAAGAGACGGAGACUAUUUAAGCCUUUUUGCUCCCUUGUUCCCCUUUUUCUUGCUUCCAAGUCCAACGUUCUGAUUUUAAGUCGGUGCCUUUUUAAAAAUAAAAAAGGAUAUUGAAUCACUUUGGAUUCCAUAUCAACUGCCUGAUUUGACUGGUAUUUUCAUGAUGGUUCUUCAGAGCCGUCUGAUCUCCCUCUUUUUUUUUUGGGGUCAAAGAGAUCAUCUCAUCUGACUUUCUAGUAUAAAUUUUUUUUUUAAAAAAGAGUACUAGUUACUUCUCCUCUUACCUUCCCCUUUUACCUUACAAUUUAUUUUCUUAAAUAAUGCUAGUUACCUUUUUUUCUUGCCUUCCUCUUUUUUACCUUCCACAAAUUUUUUCUUCUUAAAGAAUGCUAGUUAACUUCUUCUUUUUGUCUUCUUAAUUCUGGUUUAUGUCACGUAUAUUCUACUCACACAUAAAUUUAUGUGUUCAAAAAAAAUUUACUCUCUUUACAAGCAAAAUAUUAAUAUUUUACAUUAAAUACAUAAAUUUUCGUGUGAGUAAAAUACACGUGGUACAAACUGAAUAAAAAAGACAAAUAGCUAGCAUUUUUUAUUAGAUUUUAAGAAAGAUUUGUCGAAAAGAGACUUUUCGGAAGGUGCCACGACUCAACAUAGCUCAACAUAGUGUAACCUCGGAUAAAAAGGGAGGUUUUUAUAUUAAAGGACAUUUUUGUUGUGUAAUUGACAAAGCUUCUAAACAAAGGCGGCCAUUUCAAAGUCUUCCACUUGGAGGUCUGCCUCUAUGUGACAAAAUUAGAAGGAAUGCAUAAAGGAUCGGGUAAAAUUAAUCAUACAUUUAACCCAUUGUGUCAAAUUUCACAACAAUAAAAAUAAGAAACUGUUUUUACUGUGAGCAUAAUGUUGAGCUUUAAAGAUGAGCCUGUUUGGAUAGUUUAAAUUUGGUAGUAACAUCUUCACUUGGGGAUUUCAUUAUAUGGGAUUGAUAGCAUUUAGGGCAAUUUUCAAUUCCUCGAUCUAUUCAGUCUGAUUUGGUAUAAUCAAAUUUCUAUUAAAUUUUCAACCCAAUUAGCAGCUUCAUUCCAUAGACUGAUCCACAUUAACACUGCAAUUAUCAUUACUUAACAUUUGAUAUGUAGAUGCCAACGAAAUCUAGUCCAGAGGACUUGUAGACCAGUGGUCUUAGGUUCGAACUCUCAUGGCACCGUGUAGUGUGUAUGAGAGAAACCCCCCUCUCCCUGUAAUUUAAACUAUCACUUGUAAUAAAAAAACACAUUUGAUAUGUAGAACAUGAAGCAAAGUAUAGAGAUCAAGAUAUCCAGCUUGUUAUAAAUCAGCUUUGUUUUUGGUAAUAGUAGCUUCGUUCAAAAGGAAGACUAGUACAAAGGAAGAGUGACAAUGGAUACAUCAGAAAUGCUCUAUGAGCAACUUACUCCUUUGCCCAAAUUACACUUUGUGAUAUUUGUAUUUCUGCCUCAAAUUAAAACUAGUGAUACUCUGGUCAAAUCCAUUCAGCACCAGGGUUCUUACAGCCUCAACCCCUUGAUCCAGUGCUGCAUCAAUCUGUCCAGAUGACAGAUAACAGUCACAAUUAAGAUAUUACGGGUUCAAAUUCACACCCACUGAAAUGAAUAGGCACCGUAAUUGUGUGUUAUGGCAUGCAUGCAAGCGAUUCUUUGGGGACCAAUACAGUCAUCAAAGAAUUUCCAGAGAGACCAGGGGUCAGAACCAUUUUGAAUGACUAAACCGUCAACUCUUUUAGUUUUAUUUUACAAGUCCUUCAAAAAGUUUAGCCUGCAUCACUAAAAGUUGAGUAUUCAUGAUUUUAGAGGAAUUUUGUAUUCAUGCAACUGAGCUCAGGCAACACAGAGCUCGUGAUUAUACAUGAUAUCGAUACGUCGGGCCCAACCAAAUGUUUGUUUUGCUCAUUAUUCAUAGUCACCAGGGCAAAUGUGUAAUGGCAUGUUAAAAACAGAGCUCAGGCAACACACCAAAAACCAACUAGAUGCAGAGAAUAUAUUUUUAUCAGAACUCAGCUAAUCAUGUGCAACCACAUCAAAAAUGUUGAGACCUCACAUACCUGAUGUCUCUCUACUGUACUGAACCUCUGUAGAAGAUAGGCUUUCAUGUCCAUAGUUCCAGGCGGAUUUCCAAUACCUGCAAACAUAUUUUUUCUCCUUUUAUUUUCCAAUUAAGGCAAGCAUAGAACUUUGGGUUGAGACAAACCUAAUUAUUGCAAAAAAUAGUACUCAAGAAACAAACCUAUACACAACCGAGGAAAUUCGCGGCAACCGUCCAGAUGGCCCAUUACACUCUUCACACUGUAACAAGAAAACAAUUAUGAACAAUUUGAGAUGAGAGAAGUGAGGAAAAGCAGGCAAGUUUUUCAACCAAUUUCGUAUUGCCUGAUAUGGAGUAGAGGUAGCAGAAUUUUUCAUGAACAUGUUAAAAGGCAAUGAUAUUAAGACUGUUUGCAGUAUUUUUCCUUUUGUUUCCCCCAAUGUUGGACCACACAAGGGGGAGCAGUCCUCCCUUCCAUGAAACCCCUCCUCUCUGUAGGGGUUCAACUAGAGGUCAAAAGCCAAUACCUUUUCAAUAAUGUACAGAUCGAAUUAAUUUUAACCGGGGUUUCUGGAUUAUAAAAAAGAGUUGGAACUCAUUUUUGUUGAAUGUUAUGGUAUUGAAACUUAUCGCGCAAAUUUGUCCUUUUGUGUGAUAUUAUAUAUGUUCUCGAUUUGUUUUGCUCCUCUUCAACCUUCUCAGUUGUGUUGGUUUCUUCGUAUUACAUUUAUGUGCUUCUUUUCAUUCAUUUCAAAUGAUAACCAGCUGCAUUCACCACUCUUCUUAACCAACAAACAUGUACAUUGAUAACUAUAUGAAUAAACCCUUCCAAACCAAACUCACAAACUAGCCAAAACAAUAUUUCUUGAAGUACCUUUCACAGCCCCAUACCAACCAUAAGUAGUUCUAUUUACAGCUUUUCUGCCUCCUCAAACCAUACAUUUACCCUGCACCCACUGCAACAUUGAUUCUCCACACUAACACUUCAGAAAUAAUAGGUUAUACAGUCAGGUUGGAUUGAUGUGCCCGAGCGGAAAAACAGAUGAAGUUGCAACAACUCCUAAAUAAAUUGGACUUUUACUCUAAACCAAUACAAACUGAAUCUGAUUGACAAAACCCAGUCAUAUUGGGCAGGAUUGGCUGGGUUGUUCGAUUUGACAGUAUGAUGCCCACCCUUACUUUUGGUAACUUUUAUCUCUGUGAGUCAACUUUAUUUUCAAACCUCACCUAUUUGGUGGACAAAUUUUAAGAGACAAAUAUUUUCUCACAUUGUCUUCUCUUUUCUACUCUUAUUGUUAAACAAUGUAAUGGAAAGUAAUAGAAUUCAACCAUUUUCUUUUCUUUUCCUUUCUUCCUGGGUAAACCAAACAUUGAGAAUCAGGGAAAGAAAACAUAAUUCAAAAUUUCCAUUCAAGAAUCAGUUGUUUCUUUAAUUUCUAGUUCAGAAUCUUUAGAUAAGAAAAAAUAUAUAUGAAAAGUAGUUUCUUCUCCGAUUCACUCUCUACUCAGCCAACAGUAAAAAGAACCCCAAACCCCUUGCUUUACUUCUACUCAUGACAUCACCACUAAUACAACUCUAAUUGAAAGCAUAGAACCAGAGGGCUAUACAGAAAGGAUCACACAUGUAAAUGUGUCUUCAAGGGUACAGAUUGCAAAAAAUAAAAAAAGAGAAACAAUAUGACUUUAAGACUUUAGGAAGGAAAACAUGCAGUUAAUUUAGCAGCCCUUGACAGACAUCAAUUAGAACAUACUGUGGAAAAUAAACUUGCUAAAGAAUGCUCAAAUCUAAGUCAGAGAUUAGUUAGAUAAACAAGAUUAGUAUUAAAACAUAUUUCUUCAAAAACAUAGGAAAGUGAUUGAUAAAUGUUCACGUGAAUUCUGUUCAAUAGUAAUAUUCAAACAUACCCAUUGUGAUAUCCAUGUCCUCCUUUUGGCUGAAUCCUCAGAACACCAUUUGGUAAGCUCAUCUCAUCAUAAACCUACAAAAAAGUUCAUGUCUCUGAUAAAUGUAAUGUGACAGAACUUGAUGGCUAUUUUGAAGAAAGGCAUUUUUUAUCUUGUAAAGCCUACAUCAAGAAACAAAAAUACAUACCAGUAAAAUAUGACGUAGGGGCACUUGAUAAUAUGCCGCAAGUGGUCCAACCUUAAGAAAGUGACAGAAAAUUCCAUCUCAAGGUAGCAAAAUCACAUUCACAUCCUUUAUUCAACUAAAGGAAAGUAGAGGUAUACAAUAAUGCUCAUGGAUUAUGUAAGAGCAUCCAUUAACAAAAAAAUAAAGCAGAGUAUUGAUGGAAAUUGGCAAAUCACAUUGUCACAUUAUUCCACUUUGCCAACUAUCAAUUGAUCACAAUGUUAACUUAUACAUAAGGUUUAUUCAGCUAGAAAAUUCAAUUAAUCAUCCGACUAUGCACCACAAGUUGUCCAUGACUAAACAUAUGAUUUGAAAAUUUCAAACAUGGAAAGAUUUGUGAUUGUUGCCAUAAAAUGAGCACCGCUUAGUUCAUAGCCAGGUUAAACUCUGUGAGCAGAUGCUAACGAUUGUAAUCAUUUUCGGAAUAGAACACUAGGAGCUAAUUAGUCAUUAUUACUUUUACACAUCCCUGGGAAUUAAAUGGUAUUUCUUGAGUAUACGGCUCUUCCAUCAAUGACCUAUUAUGGCUUUGAGGAAAAUAGGAAUAAUAAUACUAAAUGAGGGAUCAUUUUCAAGUUUCCUUGAACAUUUUCAUCAAGUGUAACAGAAAUUCAAAUAAUAGAUUCUCACUCUAAUGGUAUGCCAUGUAAUCACUAAUAGGAAAUUAUCAUAGGUAUUAUGUAGAGAACAUUUAUGCGAGCCUAAAUUCAAACAAAAAAGCAAACAGAUAUGAUGAGAACAAACCGAUUCCCCACUGUAAUUCAUGUAGGCUUGAGGCUUCGCCAACAAAAUCGGUACCUCUCCAAUGGAACCUGUACUGAUCACACAAGUCUGAAUGAACACCAAAACUCAUGAGAAUAUGAAAAUAGAAAACUAGGAUGCAAGCAAUUAAAAUACAACUGAAGACCCACCUAUUCCAACCAAGGCCUUUGACUGAAUGGUAUUCAUCACAACACCUUGCGUUUUAGCGAUACUGUCAAUCAUCUCAAAACCAAUCUGGUAUGAAAAGAAAACCCUUAUGAAAAAUAGACAUCGAAAAAAAAUUCAACCAAAAGAAUUAACUUAGUGCAAUAAUAUUACAUUGUGCCUGGUGCCAUGGUACUUAUUGCCAGGGUUACCCAAUCCAACAAUCAGCCAAGGAGUGUACUCCACUUUAGCACCAUUGUUAUUCUCCGGCAAGGAAGCUUGCACACAAAAACUCGUUGGAACUGAACACUUUCUUAGAAAACGAGGGCUACAAGGUCUUCUUGGAUAUGAUAUGCAACAGUGUGGGGCAGAGACAGCAUACCACAUUGACCUACAUGAACAAAACACAAAUUGAUAUAUCAGAUAAGAAUGAAUAACCAUUUGGGUCUUCAUUAACUCGCAAGUUUCCACCUUUCUAGUAUUUCAGUUAGCUAAAUUCUGAGUUUUAUCUGUUUUUGUUCCCUCUAAUUGUUGUAUCUUUCAUGACAAACUGAUACAAUUUUAAGGGAAAAAGAAGGACCAAAAAACAAAAGAUCAGCUGGGCUAGAAUAAACUGACAUAUCUCUGUGUAUCAUGAUAAACUAUAAUUGACAACUUAAAAAGAAUAUCUUGAAAUUCUACUCUCCUCAGCCACCAAACGGUUUUUAAUGGGGGAAACAAACUUCAACAGAUAGAGGAAGGAACGAGAAAAUAAUAAAUGCAACAAAAAAGAAAAAAACAAUAAUGAAAUCACGAAAAGAUAGAAAACGAAGAGCUAAGCGAACCUGGCUGCGAAUUUUUGAGCUAGAAUUUGAAUGUGAGAAAGUUGCAGGCUGAGAGAGCUUGAAAGUUGCUUAUGUUUUCUUUUGCACACAGCAAGAGCUUCAAAAAGACGAGUCUAAAAUCUUGGGAUUUAUCCGAUUUUAGCAGCAGAAAAGCUAAUAAAUGUACAGUGCCCUUUAUAUAAAUUAUGAGUGGUGAUUUCCCCACUCCAAUUUUAUCCACUUACACUCCAUUUUAUAACUAAAAAAAGAGUGUAAGUGGAUAAAAUUGGAGUGGGAAAAUUAUUACCCUAAAUUAUAUCUCUACAUGUUGUCAACAUAUCCGCUGUAGCAAUAGUCACAAAUGGAUAAUUGUAAUCCGGGUUCGAAUCCCAGCAGUGGAAUCCCGUUUUAUUUUUUAUUUUUUGAGUUGGGUUGUUUACUUGGACCAUAAUAUAAAUGGGCUUCAUAGCUGACACUAAAAAGUAAAAAGAAUUCUGAAUUUUCUAUUAUAAAAAUAAAAUAAAAAGGUGAAAUGAUUUUUGGUUCAUGUGUUUUGCCUUGAUUUCAAUUUUGAUCACUCUCUUUUUGUUGUUUUUUUUAAUUGUUUUGCAAAGUUAGGAAGGACACACACACUGUCAAUGUGUCAUGAGGAUUUGAACCUAAAAUCACUCGUCUGCAAGCAGUGAAGGAUCUAGGAUUGUCGCCUCAUGGAGUCAUAUAUAGUGUAAAAGUUUCAAAUUUUCUUUUUACCAUAUUUAGAGGUUGUGUUGUGUAUAAAUUUGAGCUCUGAAAGUUUACAUACCAUAUGGGUAAUUUUCUUUAAAAUCUCCUUAGGGAGAAGAGUUAUAGUUUAAGUAUGGAAAAAUGGUGUUGCCAAAUAGUAACAAAACAUGAUGACAUUGAGAUUUUAAUUUAAAAGUUAAUAACAAGAAUAAGAGGUAUACAAUUUAUUUAAUGUAUCCUAAUAGGGUUUUUCAGUUGUUCUUAGUUAAAACUGAUAGUCUUAUGUUACCUUACAUUUGGAUAUGAGUUUAAAGUGUUUUAUUAUUACACUUGAAACCAAAAAUAGUCGGCCCAUCUUGAAACCAAACCUUAAUAAAUAAAAAAACUGUGUUAUAGAAACCAAACCAAUCUUGAAAUCAAUGUUUGCUAUGCAGUAGUAUAGAAUAAGUUCAAUAAUAUAUGUGGGUAAAAUGUCUGGGGGCUCAGAGGAGAGUGAUGAUUGUGUAAUAGCUAAUGGACGAUUUACAUACCUGAAGUAAGAAAUGAGGAUACACCAAUAGUUGUGAUGGAGUUCGACUCGCUUAACCUCGUUUAUGAUUUCUACAAUAGAUAUGCAUUCUUGGCUAGCUUUGGUGUUCAACAUCAUUCCAUCUUUAGAGGAAAAGCAAUAAAGAGAUUAUGAGGAAAGAAUUUGUAUGUUGCAAACAAGGUGAAUAUAGGAAAGAUAAAACUUGGCUGAGAAAAAGACAGCAGGGGAUAAGUAGAUGUGAUUGCAAGGCUAAGAUUGUGGUUGUGGAGACAAAUAUGCGCAAGAAGUAUAUCAUAUCUCUUGUUGUAGAGGGACACAUUCAUAUGAUGACACCCCAAAAAGAAUGCAUUUUUUGAGAUCACACUGUUGUAUUUCAGAUUCUACAAAAGUACUCACAAAAUAAUUCAGUUCAGUUAAUAUCCCCACUCAUAAGAAGGUAAGUAUUUUCGAGGUUCAAUCUGGAGGAAUUGAUAAAAUUGAUUUUACCAAAAAGGAUAUUUACAAUCUUGAAUAUAGUGUGAGUGGGAAGCUGAGGAAUCAUGAUGUUGAACAAGUGACUGAGUAUUUUAUGGCUGAACAAAAAAAAAAUCAGUUUUUUUAUUUCAAGAUUGAGGGAGAUUCCAAUGAUAGGUUUAGUUGAUAUUUUUGGGCAGAUGCAACCUCUAGACGGGCGUAUGGGUUUUAUGGAGAUGUUGUUAUAUUCAAUACCACGUUCAACACAAAUCGAUACUGCUUGACAUUUGCACCAAUGUUGGGGGUUAAUAAACAUGGUCAGACAAUUGUCUUAGCAUGCCCAUUUUUGAGCAAGGAAAGGACCGAGUUGUUUAUAUGGAUGUUUGAGGAGUUUAAGAAUGCUAUGACAGGUGGUAAACCUAAAAAAACGAUCAUUACAGAUCAAGAUGCAGCUAUGGCCAGAGCGAUUUCAAUAGCCUUCCCCACUACGUUUCAUCGACUUUGCAUAUGACACAUCACAUCUAAGUUCUUUGAUAAGUUACCACAUUCUGCUUAUAAGGAGUAUUGGCGUGAUUUUCAGAUAACCGUCUGGGACACUGAUAAUAAGUAUGAGUUUGAUGCAAUGUGGAAUGUGGUGGUUACAAAGUCUAGUUUGAUUGACCAUCCAUGGCUAAGUUCAGUCUUUGAUUUAAGGGAAUCUUGGGUUCCAGCCUAUGUACAACACAUUUUUGCCACUGGAAUGUCAAGUAGCCAAAGAGCGGAAGGUUCUCAUGCUUUCGUGAAGCAAUACAUAUCAAGAAGAAAUUUAUUGAUGGAUUUCAUAACACGAUUUGAGAGAGCACUUGACUAUCAACGUAAAAAAGAGUUACUUGCUGAUCACAUCGAUGCAUUUGAAAUGCCUCAAUGUACUCUACCGAUGCCAAUGAACAAACAAAUGGCUACCAUAUACAUAAGGGCAAUGUUCCAAAAGUUUGAGCAAGAACUAAUACAAAGUACAACAUGUUUCUUAGAGCUAAAAACAGGGGAUGCUUCUAAAGUUGUCUUUAAUGUGAGCGAAAUGAAAAAUAAGGAAACAAAGGGGGCAUAAUUCGUAUAUGACAAAUAUUCUGACCAAGCGUCGUGUAGUUGCAAAGGAUUUGAAUUGUUGGAAUUAUUUGCAAGCACAUCCAAGGAUUAUUCAGAAGAGACCAGAUUGAAUAUAUGCCCAAUAAAUAUAUUUUGAACAGGUGAAAGAAAACUGUGAAAAUCUGGAUUGGUGUCAGAUGCAAAUGGCAAUGAAAUUAAAGAUUGUGCAGACACUGGUCUUUUAAUGAAGCGGAGUACAAUGUCCCGACUUGCUUCAGAUGUAGUUGAGGAUGCUUUAAUGUCUAAAGAAGGUUGUGAGCUACUAUCAGAGAAUCUAAACAGUUUAUGGGUGAAGUUGAAGUUAUUGAAGGAUGGAGCAGGUAAUAACGAAGUUGGAGGGUCUAGUUCUCAAACACAAUAUAUGAAAGACCCUAAGAGAGUAAGGUGCAAAGGAAGCUCGAAACGAGUAACGGGAGCACAUAAAAAGGCAAUGGAGCGAGGGAUUCGAUACUUUCAGGAGUGUGGACAUACUGAUCAUGAAAUGAGACGAUGUCCAAAAAAUUUGAACACAUCAUAAGAUGUUAAAACUAUGUAUAAUAACAACUAAAAUUUGAAGAGUUAAAUUUUUCAUGUGCUUGUGUUUGGUGUUUAUGCAAGACAUCAUCGUUGAACAAUGACGAAUCAACUCCAAUGGAUCUUAGUGACCCAUUAUUCGACGAAUUUGACAGGAUACAUGAACCUAACGAAUGAUUUAUGUUUCUAUGAUACAAAGCUCGAUUGUUAUGAAGGCUAAUGAUCAAGUCUAUCUCUAUUGGAAAUUUCAGGCGCUUCUCCAAAACAGAGUUCUGUGAUCAAACAGAAAUCCUGACGAGUCAACUGAGCAAUGUCGCACCCUAUUAAGAAACUCCGUCCAUCCAAGUCUUUCACACCCUACCAGGCGACUCAACGCAAGACAAGGCCAUGCACAAUCUACCCACUAAACUGAAUCUUAUCAAUAUUUAUAAGAUGGUCAAAGCAUGAUUUCUUGAAUUGCUCUAAUUGUUUUGCCGUCAACUACGCUCGAAUUGCAGUCAGGCAUGAAUUUGCAUGUGAGCAGUUAUUUACCUGUGUACAUAUGCCUUUGAUUCUGGCCAUACUAGCUGCGCGUUAGAUCCCAUUUCCUGAAAUACAAGAUGAAAUAACAUGAGCACAUAUACUACUAGGUAUUUGCACAAUCAUAUUAGUAUUUGCAUUUACUACCAGGUAUUUUACAUAUACCCAAGAAAAAAAUAAAAUGCAAGUGAACCACAAACACGAAAUGCCAAAUCCAACACCAUUGACUGUAAAAAAAGUGGAAAACCGUUACUCUAACCUUAAACUGAAAUUCCCCUAAAUUACUUAUCAAAUGCUAUUUCUACUUGAACAAUCAAGGCUUUGCUCCAGAAAUAGAACCUAUCACUUCCGAAAUGGAAGAGUUGCGGCUUUGUUCCAAGGAAUACGCAUUCGCUCCUUCCACGCCUUCACCCCUUCCACUCAAAGUAACUAAUUUUUCAAGGUUUAGAGAACGGAGUUGCCUUUAACCGUCGUUAAGCUUUCUUCCGAACUAGUUUAGCUAUGGGUUUCUUAGAGCUAUGGGUUUUUGUGUUCAAACUUCAACCUUUGGGUGUCCAACGUCUUCAAACUUUGUUGGGUAUUAUUUUCUGGUUUAGGUUCUUCACCUACCCGAUUGUAAAAUUUGAUCUCAACUGUCCAUAGCCCUUUGAUUAAUCUGAUGGCUAUAAAGUGAACCUCGCAAAACUUACCCCUCAUUAUAGCCUCACAGAAGCUCCACAACUCAAGCUUGGUUGAUAAUGAUGGCCUCAUUCUUUUUUUUUUUUUUUGGUUUCACAUGAUUUAUAAAAAUUAAAAAUUAAAAAAAAAAAAACAAUGAUAACUGACCUGCCAAAACAGCGUCGUUUGGCUAAGUGAGUUUUAAAACAAAGGAAGCAGUGUGCGUGCCUGCUUCUGCAGCUAUUCUUUCUUCCUAUUUGGAGUGAUAUAUCAAACUCAUUGUGGGCAUCAACCAAGGAUUAGCAGGGGUAAAGUAUUUUUUCUUUGGGUGGUGGUUUCCUACUUGCGAUGCUCACUUAACCGUGUUGCCGCCCUUAAAAUCGGCACUUGUACCUUCGCUUUGACAAUGACUACCGCGUCCUAGGAAUUUGGAGUCUUGGAUUGAUUUGUUUAACGGAAAACUCUUUUGGAUUAAAAAUGAGUUUUUAUUGUACUUGAUAUGGCUACCUUUAAUUGCUAUGGUGAUUGAAUUGAGACAAGUGUUUGUUGACUCUUUUAAUUGCAAAAUGUUUCGUUUUUGGUUUGGUUUGACAGAUUUUCAUGCACUCUCAAUCUGUUAAUUACAAAAUCUUUCGUUUCAAAUUAUGCUCUAUUAAACUACUAGGCUUAUAUAUCAAAUGAUUCUUUUUAUUUUUAUUAGCUUUAAUACAGAUCAUUAUAAAUUUAUAUAGAUCAUCUUUGUUUCGAUAGUUGAUAUAUUUUUAUUGGCUUGUUUAGUUUCAAGUGUUAUUGGUUUGUCUGGUGUUGUUUUUCAUUUUGAGGACUCAAUUUGGUGCUUCAUGUAUGUUAUUUGAUUGUUUAUUUCAUGUUGUCAUGAUUGGAAGUUUCACAUCAUAGUUGGUUGUCUCCGCUAAUUUGCUUUUGUUGGUACUCUGUGAGUGUGUGUUUGAAUCCAUAAUUCAAAUUAUAAACCUUUGUUGAGCCAUAGUUAACAGAUUGGAUUGGUAGCUCCCUUUGAAUUUUAUAUGAAACUUCUCAUGUAAUUAAUGUAUUCUUUUUGUUGACCCAUAGUCCAUCUUCCUCUCUUCAAUCCCUCCUCCUUCAUACCCACACUAAUGGCGGUGACAAGAAGAACCAAAGAGAUUUCACUGUACAACAAGCAUCUAAAGGUUGCUGAGCUUGAAGCACUAUUCGAUUUUUGUGGCAAGAUUAGUGUGUGCACCAUGACACCAAAUAACACUACCUACAUCACUUGCGCUAAAGCUAAAAGUGCACUUCUUUCACUUGCAAUGAAUGAUAGGGCGUUCGGAAACAAAUAUUUGAAGGGUAUGAAGGUAGUGAUACUUCAUAACUAGGAAGUUGCAAAUGUUUACCAUUUUUGCUUUCAAUUAAUGAUAAAUUGUAAAUGUAGUAAGAGCAGCAACUAGCUAGAGAAUAUCAAAUUCUAAAGCAAUGUGGAGACUUCAUUGACUAUGGAGUCCUAGAGGUUUGGUCUAGUCUUGUUAUUUCCUUUUGAAUCAUUAAAAUUCUAAAGCGGUGUGGACAUUACAUUGACUAUGGGACAGUUCAUUUUAGCAUUCUUGCGUGAAUAGUGGUUAUGUUCUAGUUGUGACACUAAUUUUAGCAAGCUUUUCAGCCUGAGCAUUUCUUUUCUUUGCUCAGAGGAUGAUAACUUAUUAUUUGUGUGACAAGUUUUAUGAACUUCUGUAAGUAGGUAUUUCAGAUUUACAAGUUACAACAUGUUAUUUUAUGUUGUUGUUUAAAAUGUGAUUAUGUUGAAUGAUCCUCAUCCUGAAGAGGGCCAAUGCCUUGAUUUUCAAAAAUUAAGUAAUUAAUCAAAAUACUCAAUGACUGGCAUUGAGCCUUGUUUAGGUUGCAUGCAUCUUCUAAAGGAGCUGCUAGAAUGCGGGGUAAGUUAUGUGGGUUACUUGUGCGGGGUAUCUAACAGUCAUCCAAUUAAAUCGAACGGUUAGUUUUCAAAACAGGGUGCAUUGUUAGAACCGGGUUGAAAUUACUCAUUGGAUGCGUUAGAAUCCAAUUUCAUUUCAAAAUGUUUCCCUCUCUUUGGAAAACUCAGAACGUCACUCCUCUAUAUUCCAACCUAACGUAAACCCACAAUUACAAAGAUCCAAAAACUUAAACUCGCUCCAUUCUCAUCAGCCCUUCAUUGCGUUCCUUGAUUGUGGUGGAGAUGGAGUCUCUACCACCAAAGAGUCUUCGUUUUCAAAAUAGUGUGCAUUGUUAGAACCGAAUUGAAAUUACUCGUUAGAUGCAUUAGAACCUGAUUUCAUUUCAAAAUGUUUCCCUCUCUCUGGAAAACUUAGAACCUCAAUCAUCUCUCUUCCAAUCUAAUGCAAACCCACAAUUACAAAGAUCCAAAAACCCUAGACUCGCUCCAUUCUCAUUAGCCCUUCACUAUUUUCCUUGAUUGUGGUGGACACCAAAGAGUCUUCAUUUUCAAAAUAGGGUGUAUUGUUAGAAUUGAGUUAAAAUUACUCGUUGGAUGCGUUAGAACCCGACUUCAGAUCAAGAUGUUUCCUUCUCUCUGAAAAACUCAGAACCUCACUUCUCUUUCUUCCAACCUAACGCAAACCCACAAUUACAAAGAUCCAAAACCUCUAGACUCGCUCCAUUCUCAUCAGCCCUUCACUGUGUUCCUCGAUUGUGGUGGAGAUGGAGUCUCCACCACUAAAGAGUCUUCACUAAUGUCCACCAUAGUCUCUUAAGCUGAUUGACUUUGGGACGCAAGUUCGCUCUUGUUGGAUUGAUUUUUUUGGGUUUGGUUUGUUUUUUGCGGUAGUGGGAAAUUCUUCAUUUUUGACAUGAAUAAUGCGUAAUUUCUGUACAAAUAUUUAAUCUAUUUAGUUGUUUGUUUUCAGUACGGGUGGGAAAUACUGAAAUUUAACGUCUUGAGUAAAAGAUUCUAAAGUUAGGCUUAAUGACAUUAAGAGUAAGCAUUUGGAGAGGAUAUUGGGUGAAGUUUGUAGUUGCUAGUUCAAAUUGCAUUUGUGUUCUUAGUUGAACAUGUUGGUUCUAACUUUUUUUUUUUUUUUAAAGAUUAUUUCACAAGAGAUGAUGUAACUAUUAUUAUAUUUUGUGUAAUCGGAAUCCAACAAGUUAGGCUUUGCGUCUUUUAUGUCAAUUUGGCCAAUGUUUGUGUAAUUGGAAUGCACUGAUAUGCACUAUUGUUUGCAAUGCAGUAAUAUUUGAUUAAUGAACUAAUGUUUGUUAUGUAGUAAUAUAGAAGCAAUUCAAUAAUAUAUGUGGGUAAAAUGUUUGGGGGCUCAUACGAGAGUGAUGGCUGUGUAAUAGCUAAUGAGGUGGUUUACAUACCUGAAGUAAGAAAUAAGGAUACACCAACAGUUGUGAUGGAGUUCGACUCGCUUGACCUCGUUUAUGAUUUCUACAAUAAAUAUGCAUUCCUGGCUGGCUUUGGUGUUCAACAUCAUUUCAGCUUUAGGGGAAAAAGCAAAAAAGAGAUUCUGAGGAAAGAAUUUGUAUGUUACAAACAAGGUGCAUAUAGGAAAGUUAAAACUCGGCUGAGAAAAAGAUAGCGGGGAUAAGUAGACGUGAUUGUAAGGCUAAGGUUGUGGUUGUGAAGACAAAUAGGCGCAAGAAGUAUAUCAUCUCUCUUGUUGUAGAGGGACACAAUCCUAUGAUGACACCCUAAAAAAGAGUGCAUUUUUUGAGAUCAUCCUACAAAAGUACUCACAAAAUAAUUCAGUUCAGUUAAUAUUGUAAGAUCCCACAUCAACCAACGGAAAGAGGGUGAUGUGCCUUAUAUGUGCAUACCCGCAUCCAUCUAGCACGAGGCCUUUUGGGAGCUCACUGGCUUCGGAGUCGUAGGAACUCUAAAGUUAAGCGAGUUGGGGGCUAGAGCAAUCCCAGGAUGGGUGACCCAUUGGGAAGUUGGUCGUGAGCUCCCAGAAAUAAAACCGUGAGGGCCAGAGAGGGGGGGCCCAAAGUGGACAAUAUCGUGCUACGGCGGAGUUGAUCUCGGGAUGUGACAAAUAUCCCCACUCAUAAGAAGGUAAGUAUUUUCAAGGUGCAAUAUAGAGGAAUGGGUAAAAUCGAUUUUACUAAAAAAAGAUAUUUACAAUCUUGAAUAUAGUGUAAGUGGGAAGCUGAGGAACCAUGAUGUUGAACUAGUGAUUGAAUAUUUUAUGGCUGAACAAAACGAAAAAUGAGUCUUUUUAUUUCAAGAUUGAGGGAGAUGCCAAUGACAGGUUUAGUCGAUGUUUUUGGGCAGAUACAACCUCUAGAAGGUCGUACGGGUUUUAUGGAGAUGUUGUUGUAUUCGAUACCACAUUCAACACGAAUUGAUACGGCUUGACAUUUGCGCCAAUGUUGGGAGUUAAUAACCAUGGUCAGACAAUUGUCUUAGCAUGCGCAUUUUUGAGCAAGGAAACGACCGAGUCGUUUAUCUAGAUGUUUGAAGAGUUUAAGAAAGCCAUGCUAGGUGGUGAACCUAAAAUGAUUGUUACAGAACAAGAUACAUCUAUGGCCAGAGCGAUUUCAAUAGCCUUCCCCACUACAUUUCAUCGACUUUGAAUAUGUUGUUUAUGUGCUUGUGUUUGGUGUUUAUGUAGGACAUCACUGUCGAACAAUGACGAAUCAACUCCAAUAGAUCUUAGUGAUCCAUUAUUCAACGAAUUUGUCAGGAUGCAUGAACCUACCGAAUGAUUUAUGUUUCCAUUAUACGAAAUCCAGUUGUUAUGAAAGCUAAUGAUCAGGUCUAUCUCAAUUGGAAAUUUCAGGCGCUUCCCCAAAAAUGUGCCCUGUGAUCAAACAGAAAUCCUGACGAGUGAAUUGAGCAAUGUCCCACCCUAUUAAGAAACUCAGUCCAUCCAAGUCUUUCACACCCUACUUGGCAACUCGACGCAAGACAAGCUCAUGCAUAAUCUGCCCACUAAAUUGAAUCUUAUCUAUAUUUACAAGAUGGCCAAAGCAUGAUUUCUUGAAUUGCUCAAAUUGCAACUAUGCAUGAAUUUGAGUGUGAGCAAGUUAUUCACCCAUGAUGCAUAUGUCUCUGAUUCUAGCCAUACUAGCUGCAUGUUGGAUCCCAUGUCCUAAAAUACAAGAUGAAAUAAUAUGAGCACAUAUACUACCAGGUAUUUGCACAAUCAUAUUAGUAUUUGCACUUAGUACCAGGUAUUUUACAUAUACCCAAGCAAAAAAUAAAAUGCAAGUGAACCACAAACGCGAAAUGCCAAAUCCAAUGCCAUUGACUGUAAAAAUAAGGAAAAACCGUUACUCUAAUCUUAAAUUGAAAUUCCACUAUUACUCACCAAAUGCUGGUUCUACUUGAACAAUCGCGGCUUUGCUCCAAAAAUGGAACCUACCACUUCCGAAAUGGAAGAAUUGCAGCUUUGCUCCAAGGAAUACGGCUUCACUCCUUCCACACCUUCGCUCCUUCCACGUCUUCGCCCCUUCCACGGCUUUGACCUUCCCACGGCUUUUCGACCCUUCCAUGACUUCGACCCUUCUACAGCUUCGCCCCUUCCACUCAAAAUAACUAAUUUUUCAGGGUUUAGAGAAUGGAGUUGCCUUCAACCAUCGUUAAGCCUUAUUCCGAACUAGUUUAGCUAUGGGUUUUUGUGUUGAAACUUCAACCUUUGAGUGUCCAACAUUUUCAAACUUUGCUGGGUAUUAAUUUCGGGUUUGGGUUCUUCACCUAUCCGGUUGUAAAAUUUGAUCUCAAUUGUCCAUAACCCUUUAAUUGAUCUGAUGGCUGCAAAGUGAGCCUCGAAAAACUUACCCCGCAUUAUAGCCUUGUGGCUUGAGAAUCGCCUUCAAUGAAUAUAUUAGUUAUAUCUAAUUGUUUUGCCCAUAAGUCCAUUUUUAAAACCCAAAGCUUUUGCUUCCAAUAGAGUUUAUUCAUAGAAUCAUAAAAUGAACAAUCUUUUUUUAUUUUUGGUCAGAUAAAAUCAACAGUCUUAGUGCGGCCAUUUGAGAUUUUCACAUCUUAACAAAUUGAAAUUUUCGCUUUGGCUUAUAUGUCUUCCAAGACCUAUUAAUUUACCAAAAGUCAUAAAGAAAAUGCUUAACAAUAUAAAUGGUAGAAAUCACAUUAGGUUGCUUUGAAAAUUAAUGGUCUGUUUGGUAUCCUACUUGGAUCCAUUUUUUCAAACUCAUAAAAUAAUUUUUGAGUUCAAAGCCUAUAAUUCGUGUUGGGUAAAGUCCAACUCAAAACAACUUUAAAAAGGCCCAAAUUUAAAAACAAAACAAGUGAUUCUAGGGUUUCUGAUUUUCUGAUUUUGAUUUCAUUUUUUUUAGAUAGUAAAAAUAGUUUGGAAUUUUAUACUUAGAUCUUAAAAUCAAUAUUUAAAAACUCAUUUUUCUAAUUAAAAAAUCAUUUUUUUAGAGUUAUUUUUUUUUAAUAGGAUACUAAAUGGACCCUAAAUUAUUUUGUUGUACCCAAAUUUGUCGACAUAUAGUCAAAACUUUUUCACGUAAAAAGGAGGCAAUGAGUUCCUUGAAUUGAUCACCCAGUCCAUAAAAUAUGUCUUGUGGUCCUUUAUUCAUUGAAUGCUGAGUUUCCUCAUAUCCAAACAUUCAUUUUGUAUUUUAUUUGAGUUCAUGUUUUUUUUUUAUAUCAUUUAUCUAUAUAAAUAUCAUAUAUAAAGCAAAAGCUAGAGAGGAAUAGUAAAACAUUUAAAAUGCAAAAUAUUGCCCUUAGUUCAUGAAUUUAUUAAGCAUUGAAAAUUUUCAUUAAAUAAGCAUAAUAUAGUAAAUAAUAUAUUUUUAUAUUAAAAAAUAACAUUUUAUUAUAUUAAAAAAUAACAUUUUAUUAAGCAUUGAAUUUUCUAUUAACACCAUUAAAUUUGCCAAUAAAAGAAAUACAAAAUGACAGAAAGAAAAAAGAACCAACCAUUGCUAGAAUAUGUUGUUUUUAAGUUAGUAUAUCCAAGAGAUAAGUGAAAAUUUGAACCUUUUUUUUAGGUGUUUCGGUGUACUGAUCAAAUUAUACAGGGGCAUUUAGAAACUCUAUUAUAAAAAAUAAAAUAAAAAAGGUGAAAUAAUCUUUGGUUCAUGUGUUUUGCCUCGAUUUCGAUUUUGAUAAUUAUCUUUUUGUUUUUUGUUUUUUGUUGUUGUAGAAGUUAGAAAGGGGAAUUUGAAUGUGAGAAAGUUGCAGGCUGAGAGAGCUUGGAAGUUGCUUAUGUUUUCUUUUGCACACAGUAAGAGCUUCAAACUAAAAUCUUGGGAUUUAUCCCAUUUUAGCAGCAGAAACACUAAUAAAUGUACAGUGCCCAAAGACAUUUCUUUAUAUAAGUUAUAUCUCUUCAUGUUGUCAACAAAUCAGCUAUAGCAAUACUGACAAAUGGAUAAUUGUAAUCCGGGUUCGAAUCCCGGUAGUGGAAUGUUAUUUUUUAUUUUUUUUGAGUUGGGUUGUUUACUUGGGCCAUAAUAUAAAUGGGCUUGAAAGCUCACACUAAAAACUAAAAAGAAUUUUGAAUUUUCUAUUAUAAAAAUAAAAUAAAAAGGUGAAAUAAUUUUUGGUUCAUGUGUUUUGCCUUGAUUUCAAUUUUCAUCACUCUCCUUUUGUUGUUUUUUUAAUUAUUUUGCCAAAGUUAGGAAGGGGAAUGAGGUUUUCUCACACACACCGUCAAUAUGUCUUGGGGGUUCGAACCUAAAACCACUCUUCUGCAAGUUAAGACCCUUUUUUACUAGGCUAGACCUCAUUGGUAACUUUUUGUUUUUCUGUACUUGAUCAUUUUUUUUUAUCAUUGUUCUAUAUCAUUAAAGUUUUUAUUGAGCUAAAAUAAAAGGACCCAAAAUAAAAUCCCUUGAACACAUUUAAGUAUACAAUUAUAUAUAUAAUUUUUUAGUUUAACUAUAGAAUUUCAGGCAUGUCAAAAAUUAAUGGAGUAGUAGUCAUCCCAAGGAAAGGGAGCCUAAUUUUGUUGAAGUAGUUUGAUAUGAACCUGAGAAUUGCCUUCAAUGAAGAUAUUAGUUAUUUCUAAUUGUUUUGCCCAUAAGUCCAUUUUUUAAACUCAAAACUUUUGCUUCCAAUAGAGUUUAUUCAUAGGAGCAUAAAAUGAACAAUCAUUUUUUUUUUUUAAAUCAGAUAAAAUCAACAAUCUUAGUAUGGCCAUUUGAUUCUCUAAUAAUAAACCCAGCAGCCACUAUCCCAUCUUAACGAAAUGAAAUUUUCGCUUUGGCUUAUAUUAGUCUUCCAAGACCUAUUGAUUUACCAAAAGUCAUAAAGAAAAUGCUCAACAAUAUAAAUGGUAGAAAUUGCAUUCGGUUGUUUUGAAAAUUAACGGCCAAAACAAUUUUUGAGUCCAAAGCCCAUAAUUCGCAUUCGAUAAAGUCCAACUCAAAAGUAACUUUAAAAAGGCCCAAUUUUAAAGACAAAAAAAGUGAAAUUUUACAAUUUUUUCUCGUCUCGUCUCUCUCGUCUCUCGUCUCGUCUCUCAUCUCUCUCUCUCUCUCUUCUUUUCUUUUGUUAACUUCAAUUAGGGUUUUUGAUUUUCUGAUUUUAAUUCAAUUAUUUUAGAACUUAAAAAUAAUAUUUAAAAACUCAUGUUUUUUUAUAAAAACAAAUGAAUAAUAUUUUUGAGUUUUUUUUUUUUUUAGUAGGAUACCAAAUGGGCCUAAAUUAUUUUGUUGUACCCAAAUUUGCAGACAUAUAUAGUCAAAAAAAAAUUCACCUAAAAAGGAGGCAAGGAGUUCCUUGAAUUGAUCACCCAGUCCAUAAAAUGUGUCUUGUUGUCCUUUAUUCAUUGAAUUCUGAGUUUCCUCAUAUCCAAACAUUCAUUUUGUAUUUUAUUUCAGUUCAUGAUUUUUUUUAUAUCGUUUAAGAAAGGUUUUUCAAUAUAGGUCCCUACAAUUUCUAUUUUUUAGACAUAUACCCAUCAUUUUAUAAAUCUAUGUGUAAAAUCCAAUUUCAAACUUAAAUGAUCAGUAGGAUAUAAGAGGUCAUAGUAUUCUUAUGUUUUUACAUCAUUGCCAUCAGACUUCAUAUUUUAUUUAUAAUUUAUUCCAAGCAUUUCAUUAACUGCCAUAGUUGUAAUUAGAACUCCCUAUUAAUAGCAUAUCAAUCACCCCAUUUCUUUUGAGUUUGACAAUAUCAAUCACCCCAUUAUACUAGGUAAAUUGUUUUACUAGUUAUACAUUAUUAGAGAAAAAAAUAGGUACGUUAUUUAGAGAUAAAAUAGGUUCAUUUUUAAAAAAAUGUUUUAAAAAAAAUAAUAAAUAGAUUAUCAAAUUAUUUUUCAACAUAAUUAGAAUGUACACUAUUAUUCAUAAAACAAUAAUAAAAUAGAUUACUAGUCGUAUAAUUCAUAAAAGGAAAACAACAUAAUUUUUUUAUUAAACGUUAAUCACCUAUAGAUUACUAAUAUGUUAAUGUUGAAUUUAAUAUUUAAUUUCAAAUAAGUUUCUAAAUUAAUUCCUAUUGGAGAUCUUUCCAAAUUCAACAUUUGUCAUUAGUUACAACCCCCCAUAACACAUGAACUUAUAAAUAGGGGUAGUUUUAGAAUCCGAAAAAUACGGAAUCCGAAAAAUACAAUAAAUCAGAUUUUAAGUCAUAUUAGGUAACUUUCUUAAUUGGAUCGUAGUCAUAGGGUAUUAUUUGAAAAAAUUGGGUAUUUUAAAUAGAAAAAUAAAGGGAAGGGUUGUAGGUAAUUUUAAAUAAAUUUUAUGGGUCUAAGCUCAAUUUACUAAUCUAUUAUAUAAUAUAUAAAGCAAAAGAUAAAGAAGAAUAGUAAAACAUUCAAAAUGUCAAAUAUUUCCCUUAGUUCAUGAAUUUUUAAACAUUGAAACUUUUCAUUAAAUAAGCAUAAUAUAAUAAAUAACAAUUUUUUCAUAUUAAAAAAAUUUAAAAUAAAAACAUAGAGUCCUAUUUUCAUGGGAUACAAUAAGUGUCAAAAUGGUCCCUGUGUUUUAGCAUAAUGGCCAAUUUAAUCCCUGUGUUUUUAAUUUGGCCAAUUCGAUCCUUGUGUUUAGGACCAUUAGCCAAUUUAGUCCAUUUAGUUAAAAUGGUCGUUAAAUAUGAACAUGAUUGUUGUUUUUUGUUUUUUGUUUUGGCUUUUGAAAACCUAUAAAGCUUUUUUAAAUUAAAAAAAGUUGAAUUGAUUUAAAAAUAUUAAAACUUCAAUUAAACUAACAUAACAUUAGGGGGAAAAAAAACUUGAAAAAAAUGAAGGAGGCGUAGUGCGGGGAGGGGAAGGGCUGCUUAACGAGUGGAGUAGUGGGAAAAGAGGUUGACCAUUGCAGGGUGGGGGAGGGUGAUGAACAAAGGCAUACAACAGAAGAGGGAGAGAUGGGGGUUGGAGAUGAUGCGAACGAUCUGGGAGCCAUGACUGAGGAUGGGGCAAAUGGCUAGGCAAUGGUUAGGUUCUGGAAGAUCUUGCUGGGAGCUGGUCGGAUAAGGGUAAAUGGCUAGGUAAUGGUUGAACUCAAAUAAUUAUGUUUUUUAAUUAAUGUUUAAAUAGUUUUAAAUUUUUUUAAACUUAGAUUUAAAAGAAUGGAUCACAUUGAUUAAUAGUUGUAAACACAAGGACUUAAUUAGCUAAAUUAGAAACACAUGGACUAAAUUGACCAGCGUAAUAAAACACAAGGACCAUUUUAGCAUUUAAGCCAUAUAUAUAUAUAUUUGGAUUCUUUUUCUUAAUUCUUAAAUUAAAAAAAUAAAAAUAAAAAAUCAAUUGGCACCAAGGUAUUAUAUAGAAAACAAACUAACAAAAUAUAUACAUACAUGAACAUAAAAUAAGUUUCAAAAUAAAUGCACAGUGCCCAAAGAAGCUCCUUAUAUAAUUAUGUCUCUACACAUUAUCAACAAAUCCGUUGUAGACUCACAAAUGGAUAAUUGUAAACCGGGUUCGAAUCUUGGCAGCUAAAUUCCCUUUUUUGUUUUGUUUUUUGUGUUGGGUUGUUUACUUGGGCCUUAAUAUAAUAAAUGGGCUUGAUAGCUCACACUAAAAACUAAAAAGAAUUCUGAAUUUUCUAUUAACACCCAAAAGAAUUCUGAAUUUCUAUUACCACCCUAAAAUUUACCAAUCAAAGAAAUACAAAAUGACGUAAAUGAAAAAGAACUUUCCAUUGCAGGAAUAAGCUCAAAGUACAACCUACAAAGAAUUUUGAAUUUACCCAUAAAUUUGCCAAUCAAAGAAAUACAAAAUGACAGAAAGAAAAAAGAACCAGCCAUUGCCAGAAUAUGUUCUUUUUAAGUUCGUAUAUCCAAGAGAAAAGUGAAAAUUUGGCAUUCUUUUAAGUGUUUUCGGUGUACUAAUCAAAUAAUACGGGGGCAUUUAGAAACUCUAUGAUAAAAAAUAAAAUUAAAAAGGUGAAAUGAUCUUUGGUUCAUGUGUUUUGCCUCGAUUUUAAUUUUGAUAAUUAUAUAUAUAUAUAUAUUGUAAAAAUUAGGAAGGGAAAUGAGGUUUUCUCACACACACUGUCAAGGUGCCAUGGAGCUCAAAACUAAAACCACUAAUCUACAAGUCCAUAUUCUUUUCCACUACGGUUGUCGACAUCUUUUUGUUUUUCCCAAUUUGAUCAUUUUACUCUUCUUUAUUAUUAAAGUUUUUAUUAAGCUAAAAAAAGGACCUAAAAUAAAAAUCCCUUGAAAGCAAUUUAGUCUAUAAUUAUCUUUUAUUUUUUAUUUUUUACAAAAUUCUAUUUUAACUAUAAAAUUUCAAGCAUGUAAAAAAUGCUGCAACAAAUAACUAGUAGUCACUCCAAGGAGAGGGGGCCUUUUGUUGAAGUAGUUUGAUAAGAAACUGAGAAUCACCUUUAAUGGAUAUAUUAGUUAUGUCUAACUGUUUUGCCCAUAAGUCCAUUUUUAAGACCCAAAGCUUUUGAUUCCAAUAUAGAGUCUAUUCAUAGAGGCAUAGAGUCAACAAUCUUAGAGUCCGUUUGAUAACCAUUUCAAUUUUGGUUUAUAGUUUAUAUUUUUUAUGGUCGAGUAUAGAGGAAAAUGAGAGUGAUAACACUACUAAAAUACUAGGCUAAAAGCACGAAUUUAUUUGUGCUCUUUGUUUCAAACAACACGGAUAAUCGUGCUCUAUGAAGAUGACCACGUUGCAACCACUUUAUAUUGGUCGGUCUCCUAUAUAGGAGUUUCCAUUGAUUAGAGCACAAAUGUGUUGCUUCGUGGCAGAUAUUUAGAGCAUGAAUCAAGCAUUUGCACUUCUAUUUUGACAAGUGACUGAAGUGUUAGAUAUACUGAUUUGACAGGUGUAAGCUGAGCACAGUUUCAAAAUCAUGCACGAAUAUAUAUAUGUAUGUAUGUAUUUAUAAUUUUUUUUAAAACUAGGCACACAUUUUCAAAAGAGUGCUAAAUGGGUAUGUAUUUUUAUGAAUAUAUAUAUAUAUACACAUAUACAGUCCCCUUCCAUUGAGGACACUCUUUAGAGUACAUUACGAAUUGUAUUUCAACAAUCCAAAUUGUCUAUUUUUCACUUGAUAAAAGUGUACUGAUAACUAGCAGUGACAAUUUCGGGCACGAUCCGUUACAUGACUUGAAACCCGCACGAGAAUUUAGUGGGUUCAACUCGUACGAUUAAAAUUCGGGUCAUUUUUGGGUCAACUCGCCAUGACCCAUAAACAGGUGAGUUUUGGGUCAACCCGCCAACCCGCUAAAAUACCUAUGUAACCCGUUUAACAAAAUGGGUUAUCGCAGGUCAACCCGCCAACCCGAUAAAAUACCUAUGUAACCCCCCAACCCGCUAAAAUACCUGUGUAACUCACUAACCCACUAAUCCGUUUAUUUGUUUAUUCUUCAUUUUUCUAAUUUUUUUUUACUGUCUUUUAGUUGCUACCACUUAGUGGGUCAACCCGACACGACUCGAAACCCGCACGAGAACUUAACGGGUCAACUAGUGCAUGACACAUUUAUUAAACGGGUCGGGUUUGGGUUGAGCAUUUCUGACACGUAUAUAAUCUUGACACGACACGAACCCGACACGACCCAUUGCCAGCCCUACGGACAAUGAAGUGACAAGUAUGGGAAUUGGGCACGAAAGUUGUGCCUAAAUUCACUUAAGCACAAUUAUUUCCUUCUUCUAUUCAAGUUGGACAAGAAACUAUUGUGCCUUUUCUGCAUAUGACACAAAUAUUAUAUAUAUGUGUGUGUCAAUGUGAUUCAAAAGGGCACAACCCUCUUUUUUGUGGCCUUUAAAUUGUGUUUUUGCCCCAGUUUUUUUUUUUUUUUUUUUUUGUAGUGGAGAGAGAGAGAGGAAGAGGAGGAUGGUAGGGAGGAGUAACAAAGUGAAAACAAUUUCAAAUAUAUUUCAGUUUUUAGUUUUAGUUUUUACUUUUGUUACUCCUCCCUUGCAUGCUCCCCUCUCAUUCUCACUUCCAUUCUCCAUCUUUUUUCUCUAUACUCUAGCAAAAAAAAUGAAAAUUAAAAACUAAAAUUGAAAUGGUUAUCAAACGGGCCCUUAAUUUGGCCAUUUGAGUCUCUAAUGAUAAAACCAGCGUCAACUGUCCCAUCUUAACAAACAGAAAUUUUGCUUCAUCUUAGAUUGUCUUCCAAGACCUAUUGAUUUGCCAAGAGUCAUAAAAAAAAAUGCUUAACAAUAUAAAUCGUAGAUUCCUUGCCAGUGCAAAGAGCUUGUAAGUUAAGUGGUUAAGAGCAUUACCCUUGCACUCGAGGUCCAAGGUUCGAUUCCCCUCUCCCCUAAUCUCGCUUGUACUUAAAUAAAUAAAAACCAGUUUAUGUAAUCUCAACACCUUUUCCAGUUUAUAAAUGUGUUGGAGCACACUAUUUGUAAGCAAGUUGAGAAGAAUAUCAGUGCAUCAAACGCAAGUAACAUAUCCUUCAGUUUAUUUGAGCACACAACUUGUCUUUCUUUUGAAUUUUUAUUUAUUAAUUUAUAUAAUUUGUCAAGCUGCGGUAGGCAAAAAUGGUGGUCCAAAGGCGUGUCGUGUUAUUGAUCAACAUAGGAUUUGAAAGGCCUACUAAUGGAUGUAUGAAAGUGGUUUUGUAAAAGCUGAAAAUAAUAGGUCAAACACUUGAAGAAGUCUAAUAGAUUGAGACAUUGAAUAAAAACUUGAGCCUUAAUAACCUGACUCCCAAUCAAACCACUAUGCUCCGAGCGGGCAAUUAGCACAAAUUAAUUCUUUUUUUAAUUCCUGAUGGAUUAGGGACUUCGCAAUUUAUCUAGUGCAAAUAAGAGACAAAUGAUUGAAUUGAAUUAUAAACAUUCUCAGAGAAGAAUAACAAGACUAAACUAGUAGCAGGCAUACAACUGAGUCCAAAUCACUACUUCAAAAAUAAUAGUAAAAAAUCUUGUUCUAGAACAUGGAAAUAAAUCGAAUGAAGCAAUAAAAACUUGAUUUGGGUAGAAGAGUUGUCAAUUCGAAUUGACUGGUUGUAGUAGACAAACAAACAUUUAUGUUGUGAUAUAUAGUCAAUUGGAAAUCAUACCAAUUCACUCAUGUGAUAGAACAAUCUUCAAAAAACAAUGGUGAAAUCUCUCAGGAGUGGUGGUGAACUUGAAAUCUCUAUAUUAAAAUAUGUUAGGAAUAAUAAGUUAGAUCCAAAUGUGAUCCAUUUGAUAUCAGUUACUUUAUCAUAGUUGUGGUUGAGCUUCUUUUUAAGUUUGUUUCUAUAGCAGCUAGCUUCUUCUUUAACAUGAGUAGAAUCCAACUUGCGGUUAUAAGAUCACUUGAGAUGCAAGAAAGUGUUCCACAUUGAAAGAUUGAAACUUCGCAAUAGUGCUUAAAACAUAUCUUGGACUUCUCCAUCUAUAUUGUCAAUUAAUUUUACGUUGGAUGUUAAUAUUCUAAUACUUAACCCGGCUCAGAUUCCUAUUUGAUUUGAUCAUGAAUUUUUAUUUUUUCAUGGAUCAUGAAAUUUAGAAAACAAUUGAAAAAGCCUAAAAAGAAAAAGAGGAACUUUACAAUCCCAAAGCAAGCUGGUCCUAGAAUGAAGCCCAAAUCAUUGCGAAGCAGGCCCAAGGCUGAGAUGCAAAUUCAAUCCCAAACCUUUAUCAAGCUUAAUCCCACCCUCAUCUUCCGCACAACCGCUUAAACCCUGCAAAAAACUAGCAUGAUUUCCAACCCCUUCUUGAGACGAAGCCCUCAUCAUCAAACUUUCCCCUAUCCCGGCCUUGCGGUAGACAUGCCUCCCUAAUGGCGAGGGGCCAGUCCCGGAGAGAUAUGCGUCGCGGUCCGAUAUGUUUACAGGUGCAUGUGCCAUGUAAAGACAUGAAGGGGAUUGUGGGGGCGCCGCUGCCUGAACCAUCAUAGAAGCGAAGAGCUGUGACUGUGAAAUGAAUGCCGAUAUGAUCGGGUUUUGGAUGUGUGAAGUAACCAAGUUUCGGCUGCUAGCAUGCAUUUGUGCACGCUUUAGGAUUUGCCUUUCUUUCUUGUGAGCAUUCUGGUGGCCUCCCAAGGCCUGAGAAUUGCUAAACUCACGGCAGCAGUACAGACACUCAUAUUUACGGAGGUCGGAUUCUUGUGACGCAGAUGAAGAUUUGGUUAUAUUUGAGUUGUAGUGAUCUUCUGAUAUGUUGAAACCAAAGAGCUUAAGAGGUGUGGAAGCGGAAGUUGUUGUGGAAAUUGUAUUUUGCUUUGUAUCAUAAUCAAUAAUAUCAGCCAUCAAAAGUUGGUUUUGGAGAUGAGAUGAGAGAUAUUAGGAGGAUAUACAAAUGGAAUUAAUGGGUGACCUUAUAAUUAGUGGCAAUAACUUGCAUGUGUGAGCUAUUUAAAAGCUGUGUAUUGAUGAAGUACAAGAGAGGGUAAUGACUUGAGAGUCAAAAGAAGUAGAGCAACAAAGGAAAGAGAGAGGUAGUUGUUGUGAAAAUUCCCAUGACAAAGAUAGAGUUAGAAGCAACAACAUGGAGCAAGAAAACCAGGCCUUUAGAUUAUACUUGAAUCAUUUUCUUGUGGUGGUGGUUUUUAUUUUUUGGUUACAAUUCUCAAAUGCAAAGUUACUAGCAUGUAGAUGAUUUAGGUGCUAACUGAGGCAUUUGUUCUUGGUACACUUCAAAUCUAGCAGAGUCUUUUAGUUUGCCUACAAUUGACCAUGACCACAUGGGUCGAAGCUGAGGGGUGGUUCAGAAUAAUUGCACCUAACUUGGCUUAUUUGCAUGAAGAAAAAAAAAAAACUUUUUUAUCUGAAGCUGGGGAGGGUCCAGACGUGAGACCAUGAGGUAUAUUUGGAAAUCAUUUGAAGCUCUUCUUUCUUAGAAUCUUGCAACCAUUUCAAGCACGAUUUGGGAAAACAGCAUACAUUAAAUCAAAAUGUGGCUGUACUAUUAUACUUACAUCCAGUCUGGUAACACAAAUGCUUUUGUUUGAAGUGUGUGUAGUCAAAAUUAAAAACUUGGCACACAAAGAGACAUUAUAGGCAGUGGCGGAGCCAGAAUUUCACGUUAAAGGGAGCCUUUCAUAAACCUUGUAUUCUCUUCAAAAUUAUCAUGAAUUUCAUAUUUUAAAUUGGUUAAAUACUAAUAUCAUCAUCUACACUAUUAAAGACUUAAAUUUUGAUAAUUUAUAUUCCAAAAGAGAAAAGAAAUAGAAAAAAAGAGUUCAUAAAGUGCAAUAUUAAGGUACCCAACUCAUACAUAAAACAAAAAUAAGGAAAAGAAAAAAUUCACAAAGCUUUAAACAAAAGAGGAAGAGAAAGAAAUGUUAAAACUUUAGGAGUUUUUAGUGCAAAUAUCAUAAACUAACCUAGAAGAUUUAAGUGAGAUGAGUAAAAGAGAGACUAGCUAAUAAAUUUUAUGGUUAAUUUAUAGACAAGAAGAACCUAAUAUAUAUUUUAUUUUAAAGUAAAUAUUCUAAAACUAAUAUAAUAUAUCAUAUAUAAUAUACAAAUAAAAAAUGUAAAAUUGGAGUGGGGCCUUGGGACCACACUGGUCCCAUGCUGGCUCCGCCCCUGAUUAUAGGGACAGCAAAAAGACACUGUAUCGGGCAUGGGCUAUUAUAGAAUAAAAGUUGUGAAAAAUGGCUAUUUUAGCCCAAACCCACUUAUAAGGAGAGGGGCCAUAUGUAACAUAUUGACAAUACAAGUAAAUUUAGUGAAAAAGUGGUGAACAUGAAUAACUUCUCUUGAUGAUGAAACUAAACAUAAUAAGUAUAUCAACAAUCAUUCAGAAUCAAAACUUGUAAAAUAAUAAUAAUAACCGGUUGUCUUUAAUUUCCUAUUUUCUUAAAGAUAUUUGUAAAAAUAAAGAUUUGAUUGGCUGUUUCUUUUAAUUUAUAUUAAAUAUGUUGGUGGGAUCCAAGAGUAACUUAGCCAUUUUGUUAAGGAAUUAGCCUUUUAGUUGGAGGGGGAAACGUAAAUCCCUCAUUCUCUUUAUUGUGGUGAAGCACAAGCAUUAUUUUAAUAUAUAUAUUAUCCUAAGUUGUCCAAUGCAAAGCCCAAUAUAUAUAGUAUUUCAAAAAUUUUGAAGGGCCAAAGCCCGUGCAGGCCUAAGCCCCAGGGAGGUUUCUGUCCAAUCGCGAUAGAACUUUUUUUUUCUUUCCCAAGGAGAUGUUCAAAAGAUGUGGUGAAUAAAAACCAAACGACGGCAUGCACAAAGUACAAUCAGAUUCCUUGGGAAAAAAAAAAGUACUAUCGCAAUUGGAUAAAGAAAAACUGACUUCUCUUUUAUUUUUCCAUUUCUGAAUUUCCUCUGCUGCUAGGGCCACCAUUUGAAGACCCACCUCCAAUUCUAACUCCACCAUUCGCAGCAGCUUUGAUCUGUUGCUGCUUAAAAGUUGGUCUGAUCAGAAGUGCUUGGGUUCCAAAAGUCCCUGUAGUAAAAUGGGGUUGUCCUUUGGUAACUAUUGGCAGUAGCUGGUUUGGACUCCCCUGCUGUUAAGCCUGUACUUCUGGAAAACACACAGACUAAAUAUUUCCAAUCAGCACCACAUCAUCAUCAAGUCUAGCAUAUUACUCAUAUAAUUAGCCCUUAAAUUAGAUGUGACCAUUUUAAACCAAUUUUUCAAUUUUUUUAAUUUUAUUUUGUUGAAUUCGCUCAUCCUGAUUUAGGAAUAUUCUUUAUUUCCAGAUUUGGGCGUGACAAUAAGUUUAGGGGCAUAUGAUCCAUCCAGUUAACAUCAUGAACAAAGAAAACUGCGUGUCAUUAGAAAAGAUAAGAAAUGUGACAUAUUCUUGGUUAAAAAAUAUACAUCCCAAACAAGAAAAAUUGUAAAACUAAACUUAUAAGAAAUUAUACCUCAAUUCGGGUCAGCAUGAAUGGAUAUGUCCAAACAAAUUUUAAGAAAUGAGAUCACCAAAACAAAUAUACCUCUGGUAGUCAUCGAUGCGAGAUUUUCGAACCCUAAAUUCUACUCUAGAAAGAACACCGUCAUGAUCCUCUUCAUCUUGGGCUUUAGAAGCCUCAGAAAUCCUCACUAUUCGUUCUGUGGGAUUAAGCUGAUCUAGCCAAAACCCUAAUGAAUGAUUUGAUGAUGAGAUGACCAAGUACCCCUUCAGUUCUCUUAUAGAUGUGGUGUGGACGAGGGUUCCAGAAUAGUGGUUUGGCGAUUCAAUAUGAGUGGAUGUGAUGAAGCUGACAAUAAAGGUUACUUGAGAUGUAUCCAAAGAAAAAAAUGAAGGGAAAUACUACUUUUCCUUCCUUGUUUUACUUUUCUCUCCUUCACGGCAGCCUGGUGGCCCAUCAAUCACGCUAUGAACAUGGUUACGUGGAUGUUUCUCAAAAUCACACUGUUUUUAAUCAACGUUUUAAUUUGAUAAGGUUGGCAUUUCUCCAAUUCUCUCCCUCCUAGUCUUGGCGUAGUUCAUGUAGAGAUUUGACAUUUCUUGGGUUUCAUUAUCUAAAUUAAUAUUCAAAGUACCAGCUGUUAAAACUAAACCUCUGAAUUAUAGCGUUAAUGACACACGUUGUCUAGUAUUGAUGACCUAUCAUUUGGUUGUAAUCCAAAUCUCAGUUUUUGUUUUUUUCUUUUUGCCAAAGUUAGGCACGCUACAAGCCCUAUAUAAAGCACCCCCUGGCACCCAAGUUUAUCAUCAUCCUCCUCCUCACCAAAUUACAAGUUAAUUAAGUUUAUCAGCAAGAGCAACAGCAAGCCAAUUAAGACAUUUCCAUGACGAUGAUGAAGAGCCAAGCAGCUCUCCUUGGCCUCACCACCUUGGCCAUCCUCUUCUUCUCAGGUAUAAUAUUAUAUAAACGUUCUUAGGUGAUCAGAUAUCGAUCAAAAGUUUAUUUUUACAGUUGUCUCUGUAAUAUUUAUUCUUACGAUGAUCAUGGUUUUAUGUACGUUGAAUAUGCAGGUGCACAUGCAGCUAAAAUCACUUUCACAAACAAAUGUUCCUACACUGUCUGGCCAGGAACCCUAACCGGUGACCAAAAACCUCAAUUAUCACUCACUGGGUUCGAGUUAGCAACCGGAAUUAGCCGCUCUGUGGACGCUCCGUCCCCAUGGUCCGGUCGCUUCUUUGGCCGAACCAGGUGCUCCACGGACGCAUCAGGAAAGUUCACUUGUGCCACCGCAGAUUGUGGUUCUGGCCAAGUCUCAUGCAACGGUAACGGCGCAGCUCCGCCAGCUACAUUAGUAGAAAUCACUAUUGCUUCGAACGGGGGUCAAGACUUCUACGACGUUAGUCUUGUUGACGGCUUCAACUUGCCCAUGUCCGUGGCUCCACAAGGCGGCACCGGCGACUGUAAGGCGUCAACUUGCCCUGCCGAUAUUAACAAAGUGUGCCCGGCUCCGUUACAAGUGAAGGGAUCUGAUGGAAGCGUAAUUGCGUGCAAGAGCGCUUGCUUAGCAUUCAACCAGCCAAAAUACUGUUGCACUCCACCUAACGACAAGCCGGAGACAUGCCCUCCCACUGAUUACUCUAAGCUCUUCAAGACCCAGUGCCCUCAAGCUUAUAGCUAUGCUUAUGAUGACAAGAGCAGCACCUUCACAUGCAGUGGUAGACCUGACUACCUCAUCACAUUCUGCCCAUAAGCAUAUAUAUAUAUAUAGAAUGGGAUCUUAUAUGAUAUGAUAUUAUACAUAUAGUUCCCAAUAAAUAAAUUUCCUGGAUCUUGACACAUUGUUGAUGUCAAGAAUUUGUAAUGCAGACGAUCAAAUAACGUAAAUGUUUGGAUUUUAUUUUCGUUCAUGGCUUUCAAAUUUUUGUUUCCUUCAUUUCUUUAUAUGAUGCAUUAUUUCCAGCAACAAAACAUGAGCAUAAUAUAAAGAGAGUUAGCUGCAAUUGAAAUGGUUAUCAAACGGGAGUUUAAAUACGGAUUGUAAUUUUCUGUCAUGCCUGGUGUUGAUGCGAAAAAGUGGUUUGAUACGUAAUUCGUCAACUUAGUCAAAAUGUCCCUUCGGUAGGUCCCCGUCCUUGGUAAGUGGUCCACUCCAGAGGGUCAAGUACCUGCAAAAGGACGCGUUCGGUAAAUCCUUGGGGUACCGGUGCGGUACCGGCCGAAGGCUCUCCGAUGCCUAAAUGAGUACGGAUUUAGUAAGGUUAACUGACAGAUCACACGAUAGCGUACCGUUAGUUCUUCUUCUUCCCUUUUGGGGAUAUGGGUCUCCUUAUAUAGACCUUGGGAGGUGUGCUUUGUGCUCAUUUUUCCGAUGUGGGACUCCAAGCAUGGAUUGUGAACAUGACACGUGUCUGUUGGUAAAAAGGGCCAAGAUAUAUAGCUUCGGUAGUGAGCAUGCCGUAGGGGCCCUGUGAUCAGAGUGGAUCCUGUCCACGUGUCCGGUGGAAAUAGGCCGUUUAAUUAGGUAUAAACAGUAGUCCCUCAAGUUCUCUUUCGAAGGUUCUUCGGAAGGGAAUUUGGUUUUCCUUGGUAGUUCGGAGGUUCUCCUGCCGUUCGGCAUGCUCAUUUGGGGGGAGGAAAGGCGCUUGAGUUGUUCCUUUCGGAAAGUAGUGUUCUGGGAAAAUCGGUCGGGGACUUGAAGGGUCGCCAAUGUUGAGAGGCGAGAGGGCAGAGAGACGCUUCGUCUUCCGUGCCUGGCGCGCAGAUAGAGGCGCCAUUUGCCGGGUGACGCGUGGCCAGCAAUAACACGCCUGUUGGUGCAUUAAUGAGCCGUUUCGUCUCCCGAGGCGUACCGUUACAGUUCUCCCUCUAUAAAUAGAGGUUGCUCUGUAUGAAAAAAUUCACUUUGCAAUUGUGAGUUUGCGCGAGAGCUCUUGAGUAGGCGAUUUUUGAAGUGUGCGAACGGCAAGCAAGGCGAUUUUCGAAGCGUGCGAACGGUAAGCUAGGCGAUUUUCGAAGCGUGCGAACGGCAAGCUAGGCGAUUUUCAUAGCACUCAAGGUAAGAUACCGUUCGGUACCCCUGAAUUUUGUUAUACUUCUGUAUAUGGCAUAGGCUCGCCGAUCGUUAAGUAGGAUCUUCCUUCGGUAGUCUAGUGGCCAUAGGUAGAGAAGUAGGUAUCUGUAGGAUAGCGCAGCACGCACCUUAGUUUUUCCCUUUUUCUUGUUUUGUAGAUGUCCGAUAGCGAGUCACCGUUCGGCGAUGAGCCCAACGCUUUCGACGGGGAGCUAUCUUCCGGCUGGGGUACGUCCAGCGAGGCCGUGAGCCUCGGCGCCGAGGGCGGGGAAGACUCCGAUGCCGAGCUAUUCGGUGAGGAGGCGGAUUCCAUUCCCACCCACGGCAUCGGUAAGGGGUUCAUGACGGGGCACCCGUUACCCCUGGUCGCGGUGUACAGGGACGGUACCCGUGUCGUGCCGUCUGAGCACCAGCCAGAGGCUUCCACCUCCGGCAAUGAUGAGUGUGUUGCCGGUCCCUCUCGGCCGAGAGUUACGAUCGUCCACCGAGAGCGGUAUAGGAUACCGGUGGGCAUACCGCAGAAGACCCUGUUCGGGGUUGAUUAUUUGGGGCCGAACAAACUUACCGAACGGGAGCUUCAAAAGAUUAGGGCCGAAUACCUCAUUCCUGACUCGGUGAAGAUGAGGGUCCCGAGCCCGGUCGAGUCCCUCAGCGACCCUGGGGAUGGUGAAGUCGUCUUCUUCACCGAUAUGCUGGUGCAGGGGGUCAGGUUGCCGUUGCAGCCUGCCGUUCAGAAGUUACUUGCCCAGAUUGGGUAUGCCCCGGGCCAAUAUAACCCCAACUUUUGGGUGGCCCUGAUGGGGGUGAUAACGGCCUUUGGGAUUGCCGGGGAGGGGGAGCCUUCCUACGAGCAAUUCUCCUACCUCUACAGCGUCACUAAGUCGAAGAGUGCCGACCAUGGUGGCUGGGUUCAGGCGAACUGCCUGAAGGCUUCCGAGCGAGGUCACUUCGUCAGCUCGGUGCCGACUUCCCAGAAGUCGUGGAGGAAUCGGCGGGUGCUACUCUCUGGCCAAUGGGAAUCGCCAUCAGGAGUACGCCCGCAGUCCCCAGUACCAACGACUUUCCAAACCGCCGGUAGGUCCCUAGUUACCGAUCGGCAGGUCCCUAGUUGCCUUUCUGUUUUCUUUUUAUAUUUGCUCACUCAUUCUUUAUUCGGACAGGCAAACUCAAGCAGCCGACUCCUACACAAGACGAGAUUCGGCAGAUCGACAGGGUGAGGCUGAAGGUCCCUGCCGCCGAGCGAGUGUACCCGCGCUUCCUUUUCACCAAUAAUCUCAUCAGAGCCGGGCUCGUCGACCCUGCCGAGAGUAAGUGUACUUGUUGCGCUUUUCUUCCUCUUCUCUUUUUUUGUGUGCUUGCCGACUGACUGAUUGUUUUUGGCCAGUGACGGACGCAAGGAGGGCUGCCGAGGCCAAGAAGAUGAACGAAUCUUCCAGGAGGCGCCUCAUGAUGGGCCUCGAGGGCAAGAAGAAAAAGAAGCAGCUCGAGGCCCCUGCCGUUCGGUCGUCGACGGACCCCGAGGAGGUGACCCUCGCUGAGCGUAUGCGGCAGUUGGGCGCUGAGCCUGUCGCAAGGCCGGCUGUCGAUCCCCAUGCGCCGAGGCAUGCCGUCGCCGAUGCCGUCGCCUCAAGGGCUGCCGGGAAGCGGCCGAUAACGGUGGAUUUGGAAACUUCUCCGGCGUCCAAGCGAAGCCGUCCGUCAGACGCUUCCAGGGCCGUCUUUGCGGCGGAGGACGAGGAUGGGCCUACCGAGGCCGUCACUCUCGCCUGCCCCUCGAAGACGGUGCAAUUCGUCAACCAUAUGAUCCUCGGUUCUCAGAUGGAGCUGCCGGAGGUUGACGAGUUGCCGAAGAAGGUUCUUCGGGAGCAGGCUGGACGCGCCUUCCGACUGCAAGCAGCAGUAAGAAUUUAUCUCCCGGUGUUGUCCUUUCAUUAUUUUUUUUUCGGUGCCAAGUGGGGCUUCAAACUAUCUUCCUCGUGUGCAGGCGUCCAUGGAGAUGUGGCUGUGUGUCAAGCGGGCCAUCUCCGCUGCCGAACGGGCAAAAAAGGACUAUGACGACGGCAGGGCUAAGGUUGCCGAGGCUGGAAAGGCUAUCCAGGACCACGCCCAGCUGCUAAAGGAGAAAGAGGCUGCCGAACGGCGGGCUCUCACUUCGGAGGCGACGGUGGGCGAGAUGCGGGCCGAUCUGGAGGCAGCGCGGGCGGCUCUGGAGGCAGCGCGGAUGGCAGCGCGUGAUGCCGAGGCCGUCUCGGAGGCGGUUCAGGACGCUCUGCAGGAGUCCGAGCGGACCAAGGCUGCGGAGGUUGAGGCUGCCAUUCAAACGGCAAUCCAGGGAUACCGUUCUUCCGAGGAGUUCACUGUCCUCCUGGACAGGGAAGUUGGCUCCGAGAUGGCGGGUAUGUUGUACCGAUUCAAGCGGUACAACCCUGGUCAGAAGCUGAACCUCAACUUCGCUGCCGAUCCCCCUCCCCUUCCCGAGGGAAUAACUGAGGAGAUGAUCGAAGACUACGAGGGGGAGGAUGCUGCUGCUGACGAAGCCUGAGGGCCUCUGUAAUAGUUUUAGCCUGUCUUAUUUUUAUUGUUAUUUUGUAUCUGUACCGAACGCCUUGAUGCCGAGGGCAUCUUUAAAUUAGAUGUGCAUAUUUUGUCUAUUUUUGUCUUUUCGAUUUGAUUUUGUUUUAUCGCCGAUAGGAUUUAUAACGUUAUAGAAGUAGCUUUCGAAAUUGUCAAGUUUCGAUGGAAUCUGUAGGGUGACAAUUUCGAAAAUACCUCCUGCCGUAGGUUAGUAAAGAUGCCCCAGAACGUUAUCUUGCUUAUAUUGGCAGCCGUAGGCUAGUAGAGACUGUAACAAGAGUUUCUGAAGCAAUAGUGCCGAAGGCUUUCUAUUUAUCUUUGCCGAAAGGCAUUUACAAUUUUGUCCUACCGUAGGCUAGGUUGCAACUCUGUCCUGCCGUAGGCUAGGUUACUUGAAAUAGUACUUGAGAUGUUCCACGUUCCAAGGAUGACCGAGGGUCUUGCCGUUGGAGUCUCUUAGGCGGUAGGUUCCCGAUCGAAGGAUACCGAUGAUCUCGUAAGGUCCUUCCCAGGAAGGUCCGAGGGUUCCUUCCGUGGCAUCCUUAGUUGCUAGGGACACCUUCCUCAUGACCUAAUCACCGGCUCGGAAUGAACGGUGUCUGAUUCUGGAGUCGUAAUACCGAGAGACGCGUUGCUUGUAGGCUUCGUUUCGAAGGUUGGCAUGUGCUCGGUGCUCUUCCAGGAGGUCGAGGCUUAGAGAAAGUGCUGCUUCAUUUGGCUCUGGUGCGAAGGUUUCCGUUCGGUAGGAAGGUUCGCCAAUUUCUACCGGCACAACGGCUUCCGAACCGAAAGCCAAAGAGAAAGGGGUUUCUCCUGUGGACGUUCGGUAAGAGGUCCGAAUGGCCCAGAGCGCUUCGGGAAGCUUUUCUGGCCAGGCUCCUUUGGCUUUGUCCAGCUGCCGUUUUAGCAGUUUCUUGAUGAUUUUGUUUAUCGCUUCUACCUGACCGUUCGACUGGGGAUGGGCCGGUGAUGCGAAAAACAAGUUGAUCUUCAGGCGGGUGCAAAAGUGCCUGAAGAGUUCCGAAUCGAACUGCCUGCCGUUGUCGGUGAUGAUUGCGUACGGGAUACCGAAACGGCAACAAAUGUGAGUCCAGACGAAGUCCUCUACUCUUGCUGCCGUUAUGGUUGCAAGAGGUUCGGCCUCCACCCAUUUGGUGAAGUAGUCGACGGCAACCACAGCGUAUUUCACCUGGCCUUUACCUUGUGGCAUCGGACCGAUCAGGUCUAGCCCCCACUGUGCGAAAGGCCAAGGACUCACGAUCGGUGUCAAGGGUUCGGCGGGGAUAUGCUGUAUGUUGCCGAAACGCUGACAUUUAUCGCAUUUCUUCACAAGUGAAUUGGCGUCCUGGUGCAUGGUCGGCCAGAAGUAUCCCUGCCGAAAGGCUUUGUGUGCGAGUGACCGGGACCCAGAGUGAUCGCCGCAAACACCAUUGUGGAUUUCCCGGAGAACGUAGCUCCCCUGCUCUGCCGUAAGGCACUUGAGAUACGGAGUCGUGUAGCCACGUUUGUAAAGGACGUCGUUGAUGACGGUGUACCUUGCCGAUCGGUAUCUAAGCUUUCGGGCCUGGGCCUUGUCCUCUGGAAGGGUGCCGUUGGUUAGGUAUGAGUAGAUAGGGGACAUCCACGUAUCCUCGUACCGUACGGUACAUAUUUCGGAGGUUGCCGUGCUUGGUUGGGCAAGAAUUUCCACCGGCACCUUUCUUCCGAUUUUGUCAUUGAUUGCCGAGGCUAGUCGCGCUAAAGCAUCGGCAUGACUGUUUUCGCUCCUGGGGAUCUGUUUGAUCUCAUAGGCUCGGAAGCUCUGGAGCAGCUGGUGGGUGGACGAAAGGUAGGCGUUCAUGGAGGCGUCUCUGGCGGCGAAGUCCGCCGUUACCUGGUUCACAAUGAGUUGGGAGUCACUGUGUAUCUUGAUCUGUUUUGCGUUCAUGCUCUUGGCUAAACGAAGGCCGGCCAAGAGAGCCUCAUAUUCUGCUUCAUUGUUGGAGGUUCGGAAGUUGAAUCGGAGGGCGUACUCGAUCUUGAGUCCCUCCGGUGUUGUCAGAACCAACCCUGCUCCACACCCCUGUUGGUUUGCCGAGCCGUCGACAUGCAGAGUCCAUACAGGAUUUGAGGCGUCGAGCCGUUCGGCGUCUACCUCCAUCGGUGCCGCGGUUUCGGUAACUGGCUCGGGUAUUUCCUGUGUCGUUGGUGGGGUGAGCUCGGAGAUGAAAUCGGCAAUGGCCUGACCUUUUCGGCUGGCCUUGGCACGAAUUGUAUAUCGAAUUCUCCGAGUUCAAUCGCCCACUUGAUCAAUCGGCCGGAAGUCUCUGGUUUUUGGAGUACUUGCCGAAGCGGUUGGUUUGUCAGGACAUUGAUCCCGUGUGCUUGGAAGUAUGGCCGAAGUUUUCGUGCCGAGAUCACCAGGGCUAGUGCAAGCUGCUCUAAUGGGGGAUAUCGAAGUUCAGCGCUCUGGAGUGCCUUACUGACAUAGAAGAUCGGUAGCUCUGCCCUCUCCGGUUUUCGGAUUAACACCGAACUGACGGCAGUGUUAGAUACCGAGAGGUAUAGGUAAAGAAUCUCCCCAGGCAGUGGUUUUGACAGGAGAGGUGCUCUGCCCAUAUAGUCUUUUAAGUCUUGAAAUGCUUUAUCACAUUCGGCAGUCCAUAAGAUAUUCUGUUUGCCCCCUUUCAAGGCUUUAAAGAACGGUACACAUUUGUCGGUAGCCUUGGAUAUAAAGCGAGUCAGGGCAGCCACUCGUCCGGUAAGGCUUUGGAUGUCCUUUGUUGUUUUUGGCCUCUCCAUGUCGAUGAUGGCCUUUAUUUUUUCGGGGUUCGCUUCGAUACCCCUGUGACUAAUCAUGAAUCUGAGGAAUUUCCCGGAAGACACACCGAAGGCGCAUUUCAUCGGGUUUAACCUCAUUCGGUAGCCCUUCAGGAUACCGAACAUGAUAGACAGAUUGUGCAGGUGUUCUUCGGCUGUUCUGCUUUUCACCAACAUGUCGUCAACGUAAACCUCCAUGAUGCUGCCGAUGUGUUCGGCGAAGAUUCUGUUGACAAGCCUCUGAUAUGUUGCCCCCGCGUUCUUCAAGCCGAACGGCAUGACGUUGUAGCAGUACAACCCUCUGUCAGUGAUGAAGGCGGUGUGCUCGCUGUCGGGGGGGUGCAUAAAAAUCUGGUUGUACCCUGAAUAGGCGUCCAUGAAGCUGAGCAGCUCGUGUCCUGCCGUGGCGUCCACGAGCUGGUCUAUUCGGGGUAACAGAAAGCUGUCCUUCGGGCAGGCCUUGUUCAGAUCGGUGUAGUCUUGGCACAUUCUCCAGCCGCCUGUACCCUUUCGAACCAUGACUGAGUUCGCCAGCCAUACCGGGUACGUAACUUCCCUGAUGAAGCCGAUGGUUUGAAGUUUGUCAACUUCCGUCCGCAUGGCUUCGUACCGUUCGGCAUCAUACAAACGGCGCUUCUGCCUUACAGGUUUGUAGGUUGGGGAAAUGCUGAGUUUAUGGCUGAUGAUUUCAGGGUCUAUGCCGGGCAUGUCUUCGUAGGACCAUGCGAACACUUCCGAAUGGUGCCGUAAGAAGUCUAUAAACUGCGCUCGGAGGGCGGGGGUCAGUCUGGUACCGAUUUUAACCCGACGAUCGGGCUGUUCAUCGCUCAGGGUUAUCGUCUCCAGUUCUUCGACGGGUUGCGUAUAAGGAGUUGGUGACUCAUCUCUUGGGUCGUCAACUGGUCCGUUGCCGUUCGGCAUCCCCUGCACAGACAUGGUCUUGUCUGGGAUUUUGAGAGAGGUUGAUUUGAUCGCCGUGGCGUAGCAAGUCCGUGCGCUCAGCUAAUUUCCCCUGACAGAUCCUACGCCAUUUGGGGUCGGGAAUUUCAUCAACAGCAUGUGUGGGGAAAGAUGCGCCUUUACCCUGGUCAGUGCCGUUCGCCCAACAAUGACGUUGUACGCCGUCGGGCAGUCAACGAUGAGGAACUUGUCAUAUACCGUCGUUCUCUUUGGCGCGGUGCCGAAGGUAAUUGGGAGCGUUACGCUACCGACCGGUUGGACCAUGUCCCCGGAGAAACUUAGCAAAGGCGUCAACUGCCGGUUGACCUGGCUGUCCUGUAUUCCCAUUUCUCGGAAAGCUUCGGCGAAGAUUACGUUUACCGAGCUCCCUGUAUCAAUCAGUACUCUCCCUACAUCGUAAUCGGCAAUUUCUGCUCGGACGAUCAUUGGGUCGUCGUGGGGACAGAGAAUGCCCUGUUCCUCUUCUUUGCAAAACGUGAUCGGCUCCCAAUGAUCCUUCGGUGUUUCAUGGUGGCGAUUCACCUCUAUGCCGAACACCUGGGGAAACUGUGCGGCACGCACGUACUGCUUCAUCGAGCGAUUGCUCAGUCCUGCGAUGGUUGGGCCGCCGCUGAUAGUGCUUAUCAUGUUUAUCUGCCGAUUUGCGUUCGGCUCCGGCGCCGUUGGCUGCCGGGCGAUAUACUGGUCUAGCUUCCCCUCUCGGAUCAAGCGUUCGACGAUCUUCCUCAGGCUUAUGCAGUCUUCUGUAUUAUGGCUGUUGUGCUGAUGGUAUCGGCAGAAUUUACCGGUAUCCCGGUUGUCUUGCCGAUUGGGCCUUCGUUGAUUCGGCUUGGGUAUUUUUUCCUGUUCGUUCAUCAGGACGGCCUCGUAGGUAGUAUUCAACAGGGUGAAGACCUCAUUGCCAUGAUCCCGAUUCGGCAGGGGGGCUCGGUUGUCGUUGCGACUGUACCUCCCUUUUUCUUUCUUUGGGUGCUCCCUUCGAUCUGCACGAUCAUCCUUCCUCUUAUGACCUGCCGAGUAGGUGUCGACUCGCUCAUAAGGCGUUGCCCUUGCCGGAUAGGCACUUGGUUCCGCAUUUCCUUGCGGUGCCGAAACCGUGGGUUUCGAGUUGAAGUAUUCGGCCUUGGCGUGGAUUGCUGCCUGCUUCAUCAGUUCAUCGUACGUGCGCCAGUUGCUACUGUGCACCAGGUAUCGAAAAUGAGAGGACCGAAGGCCACUCUUGAAGGCGCCGUAGGCUGCCCUAUCAUCCGUUUCCGGACACCUUGAGUACUCGUGACUGAAACGCGCCGCGUAUUCUCUCAACGGUUCGUCCUCCCUUUGCCGAAUCGUGUACAGAUCAUCGGCGGAGUAGAGACGGUCCGUUUGGAUUAUGAAGUGAUUGAGGAAGAUCUGCUUCAGCUCAUCAAAGGAUGCUACCGUUUCCGGCUCUAAACGGUAGAACCAGUUCAAGGCUGCCCCGGUAAGGGAAGACGGGAAUAGCAGGCACUGCCCCUCAUCGCUCAAGCCCUUGCAUCCAAUAGCGGACUGGAAUGAAUGGAGGUGUGUCAAAGGGUCCUCCGUUCCUGUGUAGAACGUUAUACGCAGUUGCUGCACUUCCCUGUCUUGCCGAGAAUCCCGGAUGCGCCUUGUGAACGGUCCGGGCCGAAGCUUUCCCCAUUCCGGUUCUUGGGAGCGCGCAUUGUCGUUUUCCAUUUUCUGGACCUUCUGAAAAAGGAGUCGGAUCAUGGGGUCUCGGCUAGGGACUUCUUCGGAACCGUAAUCUUCCGAUUGUCUUUGUAGGUUUAGUGAAUUAUCCCCCGCAUACCGCGAUGGUGUUUCCGAACGGUAGUCGGGGGGAAGUGUCUUGGAAGGGAUGUACUCGGACUCCGAAGACUCGGCGGGGCCCAAUCCCCUGACCUUCCGAAUAGGCGACUUAUCCCCUAGGUUAUUCAUCCGUGAUUCCCUUAUUCGAGCGCCAAUCCUGAUCGGUGACCCCUCUCUCUCUGGCUCCCGAUCGUUAGUGCGAUGCUCCCGGUCGUUAAUCCGAUGUCGGCAAUCGGUGUAGACCUUCCUUGGGAUGUGCGGCUGAUCCCGGGGUGCCGGAACCACUAACUCUCUGGAAGGUGCGGGCGUUGCCUUCGCUACCUUCGCGCGUUUGUUCUUCCCGCGGGGGUUCUGCAAGCUCUCGGAAGAGCGAGUUGUCUGUAUGUUCUGCGGUUGCUGCUGGUGAAGCAACUGCUGGGUUUCGUCCACUUUGGACGAAAGGAAGUUGUUGUGUUCCUGAAGCCUCGCCAUGUCCUUCCGUAAGGAUGCGAUUUGGGCUGCCAUCUCGACUUCGGCAGCCGUUUGGGUAGCGGGGGCAUUUCCGAAGGGAGUGUUGGAGGUAGCGCUGGGCUAGCUCCGCUCUGCCUUCCGAACGGUACCCCCUCUUCCGCUAGGAACGUUUGUUUUGAAGUGGUCCCCAUGUGCUUAGGGGAUUGUGGGUUGAUGAUUUUUUGGUUUCCCACAGACGGCGCCAAACUGUUGAUGCGAAAAAGUGGUUUGAUACGUAAUUCGUCAACUUAGUCAAAAUGUCCCUUCGGUAGGUCCCCGUCCUUGGUAAGUGGUCCACUCCAGAGGGUCAAGUACCUGCAAAAGGACGCGUUCGGUAAAUCCUUGGGGUACCGGUGCGGUAUCGGCCGAAGGCUCUCCGAUGCCUAAAUGAGUACGGAUUUAGUAAGGUUAACUGACAGAUCACACGAUAGCGUACCGUUAGUUCUUCUUCUUCCCUUUUGGGGAUAUGGGUCUCCUUAUAUAGACCUUGGGAGGUGUGCUUUGUGCUCAUUUUUCCGAUGUGGGACUCCAGGCAUGGAUUGUGAACAUGACACGUGUCUGUUGGUAAAAAGGGCCAAGAUAUAUAGCUUCGGUAGUGAGCAUGCCGUAGGGGCCCUGUGAUCAGAGUGGAUCCUGUCCACGUGUCCGGUGGAAAUAGGCCGUUUAAUUAGGUAUAAACACCUGGUAAGGAAUAAGCAUGGCUAUUUACGAAACUAUAAUAUGAACAACACUGAGAAACACAAGUAUGGCCAUUUCAAACAGACUACAAAUAACUUCGUAUUCCAACAAUGAAUCAACAGCACCCAUGGCCAUAUACGUUUGCAGCAUCUGAAGGUAGAUCAUCUAAUUAAUGUUAGAAGGAUAAUAGUUUCUAAAGUUCUUUAUUAAAAAAAUCAAUAGACAACCACCAGAGACAAAUUUUGUUUUGGAGAAGAUGAUUAUUCUCAAUUCUUGACAGCUGCAUAAUGCUAAAAUAUGAAUAUGGUUUGAAUACUUUACUUUAGGUUAGUUGUAUUCUUCUUCAUAAAGAGGUAUAUAUGAGUUUACAAGGUGCUUUAUAAGGAAAUAGAUACAGUUAAUUACCAUGGUAUACAAAGUGACUUAGAGACAAAAACUCAGAGACCGACUUGACUUUCACCAUGCGGCUUCUGGAAGUGCAAAUGAACCAUGCACAAGACUUUUAGAGUGAGCUCUUUGGACGUGGACUUGUUAAAACAUGAAAGGUUUUGUGUUGAUUUUUCUCAAUCAUACAAUCCGUUAAUAUACAAAUUUAUGUACACGAACACUACUAAGGAAUGCAAAGACUUUAAGAUCAUACAAACUACAAGUACUUGUUGAGAGUAUUUAGUCCAUGUUUUUUUUUUAAAAAAAUGCAGACAUUCAUUUUGUAUUUUAUUUUCCGUUCAUGUUUUUUUAUGGUUUAUCAAACUCAUAUAAAUAUGAUACAUAAAGCAAAAAAUAGAGAGAGAAUAGUAAAACAUUCAAAAAAUUAAAAAUUGUUCUUACUUCAUUUUUUUUUGUUGGAAUGCAUUUAUUACACAUUGAAACUUUUCAUUAAAUAAGCAUAAUAUAGUAAAUAUAUAUAUAUAUAUAUAUAUUAGAUGGGGACCUAUUUUCUUGGGACACAACUUGACAGGACCCGAUCCAAAUUCCACUUUGGAAUCCGAGCCAUACCCUGUGUGUGUCCGACACUUGGCGAAUGUCGUUUUCCGGCGAGCUCCGGCCACGGAAACUCCGACGAAGGGUCAGAAAAUGACGGCGGUCGAGUGGUGGUUCGUUUGGUACCAACGGCGGAGAUCGGCUCCAAGCGUGGUGGCCGUGGCGACGAUGAGAAGGGAGGAAGGUCGGCUGGCGCGGGCUGAUCGGGAGGAGAGAGAGAAAAGAGAGAAAUUGAUGGGGGAAGAAAGAGAGAGAGAGAGAAACAGGUUUUAUAAAUCUAAUUUUCCAAUUUACCAUUUUCCCCCUCAUGAUAUUUUAAUCGUAUUGUCUUCAUGAAAAUUCCGAUUUGAGCUUACUUCGUGUCUAUGAACUCGUGUCGUCGUGCUCUACGGAACGGUGUAUGGGGAAUUGUCAAAUUCCUUUUCGGUCAAAAAGUCAACUUUGAGUUCAUAAGGUAGUCAAAGGGCAAAAUUGUCUUUCCGUAUAAUAAAUUACUCAUUAAAUAUGAAUUUUAGGUUUGGGUCAUUACACAACUUCUUUAUCUUUUUUUUUAGUUGGAUUCUUAAUUCUUAAAUUAAAAAAACGAAAAUAAAAAACCAAUUGGCACCAAGGUAGUAUAUAUGAAACAUCGUCAGAAAUUAAAUUUUUUUUUUUUUGAAAUGUUCAUAAAAACAAACAAACAAAAAUAUAUACAUACAUUAACAAAAAAAAUAAUUUUCAAAAUAAAUGCACAGUGCCCAAGGAAACUCCUUAUAUAAUGUAUGUCUCUUGAAAAUUGUCAACAAAUCCGCUGUAGCAAUACUUACAAAUGGAUAAUUGUAAUCCGGGUUCGAAUCCCGACAGUGGAAUUCUUUUUAAGUUAGAUGUAUGACAGGAUUCGCCCCAAAUUCCUCGGAACCCGAAAUGAAUCCUGUGAAAUUCCGACAUCACCCCGAUGCCGGGCCCACUUAUUAAAGACCAAGACUUUCUACCAAAAUUUUGGCAGAGUCUCCCCUGUAAUUUGAACAAUCCCAAAAAUUUCAACAUGCAUAAAAUACAUGUCAUAUCCCAACAAGCAGCACGCACAAUAUAAUUUCAUGCAAUUCACAAACUCGACCUUAGGCCCUCACAUGAACCGAAGCGAAACCAAACUACCAACAAAGCCCUUACGCCAAAAAUAUUGCCUUAAUAUGGUAUAACAACACCCUUAAUUCAUCUCUCUAUACGCCUGAAAUUCCAACGCUACGUAUGAGGUCUGUCUCAACGCCGAAAAAUCCUACGCCACGCGAGACCUAACAAAUCACAUAAUCUCCUCAUACGCCGAAAAUUCUAACGCCACAUAUGGGGUCUGUCAUCAUUGAUUUAGGAUAUUAUCUUGAGAGAUAUUAUCAUCAAUUAGUGAUUUAAUCCCAAUCAAAUUGUUAAUUGACUUAAUCUCUCCAUUUAAGGGAAAAAAUAUCUUCCUUCAAAAUAAGAAGAUAUUCGUUGAAAAUCUCUUCAUUUAGGUAAUUCUGAAACGUAGCAAGAAUUCCCCAAAACCUCUCUCUCUCUCUCUCUCUCUCUCUCUCUCUCUCUCUCUCUCUCUCUCUCUCUCUCUCUCUCUCUCUCUCCGCCCUAGCCGACGGCCUCUCUCACUCUUAUCUCUCACACACGGCCAAGUGCCACCACACACGGCUUUGGCCACUCGACUCUCCCCGUGAGAAAAAGCUCCGUACCAUUUUUAGCUAUUGCAACAUAUUUUCUCCUAUUGCCACAUAUUUUCUCAAAGAUCCAAUCGAACUAACUUAGGCAUCGGAGAGAUUUUGACGAACACCUACCAGGUGUGGUUUUUUACUCUUGUUUGUUUCGCAGUAACCGAGCAAGAGAGAGAAGGAAGCUCAAAAAGUGAAAGAUCCACAUGCGAAUAUUCUUCCUUGAGAAAUUUGCAUAAACAGAAGACGUGUGACAUAUUCUUGGUUCAAAAAUAUCCAUCCGAAACAAGGAAAAAAUUGUAAAACCAAACUUAAGAAAUUAUACCUCUAUUCUGGUCAGCAUGAAUGGAUAUGUCCAAACAAAUUUUAAUCCAACAAGAAAAAUCAGAGGAGAAGGUUUAGGGUUUCACAAACAGAUCUACCAAGUAAAACGAAUUAACAUAUGAUAUGGGCAAAAUAAAGAAAUGAGACCAAGAUAAAACUUCUAGAAAGGUGACAAAUUGUCCUUUGAAGUAAUUUUACGUAAGCAUAACAAUUCGAAAUAAAAGAUAAACAAACAAAAAUCCUAUGAAUGGAUGGGACGAGGAAAAUUGAAGCUGACAAUAAAGGUUACUAACUUACUUGGGAUGUAUCCAAAGAAAAAAAAAAACAUGAAGGGAAAUACUAGUUUUCCUUCCUUGUUUUACUUUUCUCCCUCAUUAAUUGUACUUGGCUUUAGCUCCAUGCAUCUUCUCCUCCUUCACGGCAGCUUGGCCCAUCAAUCACGCUAUGAAAACGGCAUUUUUCCAUUUCUUCCAGUCUGGCUACUUUGACAUUUCUUGGGUUUCAUUAUCUAAAUUAAUAUCUAGUACUUGUUUUUUUAUGUACUCGUGCCAAUAUUCAAAGUACCUGCUAUCAUAAAUAAACCUAUGUAAACAGGGACUAAACGUUUAUGGCCCGUUUCCUAGUGUUGAUGACCUAUCAUCUAAUGUUUGAGUUUAAUCCAAAUCUCUCUAGAAGUUUUUUUUUUUUCCUUUCUCUAUGAGGGUUCAAACGUGACACAUCUCGUAACUCGUCUAUAAGUUAAAGUCAAUUUCUAUUGCGCUAGAGACCCUAUUGGCCUCUAAAAGAUCUUUUAGUUACUUCUUUAUCCAAUUGAUCACUUUUUCUACUUUAAUUUUUCUGGAUUGAAUUUGAAUUUUCUGUAAUAUAUAUUUUUUUGGGAUAAUGUAAACAGGGGACUUCACUUCAUUGCAGGUCAAUGACGAUAUCUAGGAACAAUCCAUCAGUCUAGGACCAAACAUUAUGAGUCAUUUGUUAGUUUCCUCAGGGUCCUGUUUACGUGUUGCCAUGGCAGCUUAGACCCGUAAUCAAAAUCGCAAGAAAAGAUCAAAAGUUAGGCACGCUACAAGCCCUAUAUAAAGCACCCCCUGGCACCCAAGUUUAUCAUCAUCCUCCUCACCAAAUUACAAAUUAAUUAAGUUUAUCAGCAACAGCAAGCCAAUUAAGACAUUUCCAAGACGAUGAUGAAGAGCCAAGCAGCUCUCCUCGGCCUCACCACCUUGGCCAUCCUCUUCUUCUCAGGUAUAAUAUUAUACAAACUUUGUUAGUCGAUCAGAUAUCGAUCAAAAGUUUAUUUUUACAAUUGUCUCUGUAAUCUGUUUUCUUAUGAUCACGUUGAAUAUGCAGGUGCACAUGCAGCUAAAAUCACUUUCACAAACAAAUGUUCCUACACUGUCUGGCCAGGAACCCUAACCGGUGACCAAAAACCUCAAUUAUCACUCACCGGGUUCGAGUUAGCAACCGGAAUUAGCAACUCUGUGGACGCUCCGUCCCCGUGGUCCGGUCGCUUCUUUGGCCGAACCAGGUGCUCCACGGACGCGUCAGGAAAGUUCACUUGUGCCACAGCAGAUUGUGGCUCUGGCCAAGUCUCAUGCAACGGUAACGGCGCAGUUCCGCCAGCUACAUUAGUAGAAAUCACUAUUGCUGAGAACGGGGGUCAAGAUUUCUACGAUGUUAGUCUUGUUGACGGCUUCAACUUGCCCAUGUCCGUGGCUCCACAAGGCGGCACCGGAGAGUGUAAGGCCUCAACUUGCCCUGCCGAUAUUAACAAAGUGUGCCCGGCUGAGUUACAAGUGAAGGGAUCUGAUGGAAGCGUAAUUGCGUGCAAGAGCGCUUGCUUAGCAUUAAACCAGCCACAAUACUGUUGCACUCCCCCUAACGACAAGCCGGAGACAUGCCCUCCCACUGACUACUCUAAGCUCUUCAAGACCCAGUGCCCUCAAGCUUAUAGCUAUGCUUAUGAUGACAAGAGCAGCACCUUCACAUGCAGUGGUAGACCUGACUACCUCAUCACAUUCUGCCCAUAAGCAUACAUAUAUAUAUAAUGGGAUCUUAUAUGUUAUGACAUUAUACAUAUAGUUCCCAAUAACAGAGAAGAAUAAAUAAAUUUCCUGGAUCUUGACACAUUGUUGAUGUCAAGAAUUUGUAAUGCAGACGAUCAAAUAAAGGUAUAAAUGUUUGGAUUUUAUUUUCAUUCAUUUCCUUAUACGUGCAUUAUUUCCAGCAACAAAGCAUGAGAAUAAUAUAAAGAGAGUUAGCUGCAAACUGAAAUGGUUAUCAAACGGGAGUUUAAAUACGGAUUGUAAUUUUCUGUCAUGGCUGGUAAGGAAUAAGCAUGGCCAUUUACGAAACUAUAAUAUGAACAACACUGAGAAACACAAGUAUGGCCAUUUCAAACAGACUACAAAUGACUUCGUAUUCCAACAAUGAAUCAACAGCACCCAUGGCCAUAUGCGUUUGCAGCAUCUGAAGGUAGAUCAUCUAAUUAAUGUUAGAAGGAUAAUAGUUUCUAAAGUUCUUUAUUAAAAAAUCAAUAGACAACCACCAUGACUGUUUUGGGAAAUUAGAGACAAAUUUUGUCUUGGAGAAGAUGAUCACUUCUCAAUGCUUGACGGCUACAUAAUGCUAAAAUAUGAAUAUGGUUUGAAUACUUUAUUUUAGGUUAGUUGUAUUCUUCUUCAUAAAGAAGUAUAUAUAGGAGUUUGUUUUACAAGGAAAUAGAUACAGUAAAUCACCAUGGUAUACAAGGUGAUCACUUAGAGACAAAAAUUGAAAUGGUUCCCAAAGCCUUCCCUUAGCAAGCAGGUACCAUUGCAAGAAUGGUUCCAUAGUCAAUAAUGACAAGACCCGCAAGGAUGAUCUCGAAUUUAUAUGCAUGUUUUAAUUUCAUGGGCCUGUUGUUCUUCUACUACAGUAAUUAGAAUUUGUUUACAAGUGUGAAUUUUCCCAGAGCAAUUUCAGGGACCGACUUGACUUUCACCAUGCGGCCUCAGGAAGUGCAAAUGAACCCCGCACAAGACUUUUAGAGGGAGCUCUUUGGACGUGGACUUGUUAAAACAUGAAAGGUUUUUGUGUUGAUUUUUCUGAAUCAUACAAUCCGUUAAUAUACAAAUUUAUAUACACGGAGACUACUAAAGAAUGUAAAACUUUAAGAUCAUACAAACUACAAGUACUUGUUGAGAGUAUUUAGUCCAUGUUUUUUUUUUUUUAAUCCAGACAUUCAUUUUGUAUUUUAUUUUUUUUAUCGUUUAUCGAACUCAUAUAAACAUGAUAUAUAAAGCAAAAAGUAGAGAGAGAAUAGUAAAACAUUCAAAAAAGCAAAAAUUGUCCUUGCUUCAUAAUUUUAUUUCUUUGUUGGAAUGAAUUUAUUACGCAUUAAUUAAACUUUUCAUUAAAUAAGCAUAAUAUAGUAAAUUAAUAUAUAUAUAUUUUUUAAAAUGGGGACCUAUUUUCAUGAGAUACUUCUUCUUCUUCUUUUUUUUUUUUUUUGUUAGAUUCUCUUUCUUAAUUCUUAAAUUCAAAAAAUGAAAAUAAAAAACCAAUUGGCACCAAGGUAGUAUAUGUGAAACAUCGUCGGAAAUUUAAUUGUUUUUUAUUGAAAUGUUCAUAAAAACAAACUAACAAAAUAUAUACAUACAUUAGAAAAAAAAAAAUUUGUUUCAAAAUAAAUGCACAGUGCCCAAGGAAUCUCCUUAUGUAACUUAUGUCUCUUCAAAACUGUAAAAAAAAAAAUCCGCUAUAGCAAUACUCACAAGUGGAUAAUUGUAAUCCGGGUUCGAAUUCCGGCAGUAGAAUUCUUUUUAAGUUAGAUGUAAAUGUGAUCCAUUUUAUAUCAGUUAUAAUAGUUGUCGUAAUGAGCUUCUUUUUAAGUCUCUGUUUAUAUAGCAGCUUCUUCCCUAACUUGAGUAGAAUCCAAUUUGCGGCUAAGAUCACUUAAGAUGCAAGACUUUUAGUCACAAAGUAAAUAUUCCUAUUUCAGUCCUUGUCAAAACUUUGGCAAAAAAAAAAAGAAAAAUGAUUCCUAUCAAAACAUAGAGCAUCCACAAUGGGAGGGUGUAUAUGAGGGUGUAUGUUAAAUAUACAUCCCUUGUCACCGGAAUCAUCUGCAAUGGGGAGAUGAAAAGGGUUGUAAAUAUACAUCACCACCAUGGAGAUGUAAAAAAAUGUACAUUUACAUCUAUUUUUACAUCUUUUGCAAGUGGGACCCACCCGAAAAAAGAGAAGAAAAAUGAAGAAAAGUCAGCAUAAAAGGCUGGGACCCGCGGCUACAGUAAUUGCUAGAAAAAAAAAAUCACAUGUUGUUUGCUUAUUUGUGGUUUUCAUGCUCCCCCAAUGUUUUUGGAUGAUCAUAUCUUCUCCGAAUUUCAAUAUUUUUAGGGCUAUUUGUUUGAAAAAUUAAAAUUAACCUCAUACAAAAAAAAAUUAAUUUUAUAAAGUAAACACAAAAUACAAAUUUAACACAAAAACGAAUUAAGAAAAAUAAAACAAUUACACAUCUUAGAUUUACAUCUUCUCCUAUUGGAGCCAAAAACGUAUUUACAUCCCCUGGAGGUGUAAAGGGGAUGUAAAAGUGGCUUUACACCCCCGAAUUUACGCCCCUUACUGUGGAUGCUCUCAGUGCAUAUGAUGUACAGAUAAUUCACCAAAAAAAAAAAAAAAGGAAAUUAGUAUUGACAGUAUUCCACAUGGGAAGAUGGAAACGUUGUAAUAUAGUGCUUAAACUUCUCCACCUAUUGUCAAUUAUUUUUACGUUGAAUGCUGAUAUCUUAAAGAUAACGCUACUCAAUCAGGUUCUUAUUUGACUCUCAACAUUGAAAAAUGCAUUACAAACUAAAGUUCAUUUUAUCGUGGAAUAUAUAUAUUUUUUCAUGGACCCUGAAAUUUAGAAAACAAUUAAAAAGGCAAAAAAGAAAAAGAAAAAUAGGCAAUUUAGGGUCCUUUCAGUAAUGUUUUCGGAGAAUAUAUUCAGAAAAUGAAAAUGAGAAAACGAAUAUACAUUUUCAAGAUUCGAGAAUGCAUAUGGUAGACUAAGUAAAUAUUUUUCGAGAACGAAAACAGUAAAAACGUGUCUAAUACGAACAUAUGAAAAUGACAAAAAUACUGAAUUGGCAACAGUAUUAUAAAAAUUAUUUUCAACAUCAUAAAUCAAAUAUUGUGUGUAGCACAUAUCUUAUCAGACUUACUAAUAGGCCAAAAAAUUUCUUAAAAAUUGUGCAAUGGUCUAAUUAAUUAUCAUUAUCCAAUACAUGCUAGAUAACCCAAAAUGGGCUCAUGUCCUCCAAGAUAUCAUCCUACAUCAUAGAUCAAAUCUCUUAUAGUCUCACAAAUAUUUGAAAAAUAUGCAAAAUAAAAUUUAAAAUCAUGUUGUCAUGAGCACUAAAUAAAACCCCACCAUAAAUUUGCUGCGAUAUAUUGUCUCUAAUGUCGCCUAUUUGUGCAAUAUUUCCUUUUGACAUAUCUAUAUUCGGUGGUAUUGUAUUUUUUGAGUCAAUGAUCAUGUCUUCAACUUGGAACUCUUCGAUCAUCCUAUCACGACCAACUUCUUUUCUUAUAAAAUUAUGCAACACACAACAUACAAUAGGAACUCAUUGUUGCCUUCUCGGAGGAUAAUUAGGCAUCAAUUUCAAAAUUAGAAAAAGAGCUUUCAAAACACCAAAACAUCGCUCAAUUACAUUACAUAAUGAGGAGUGCCUAUAGCUCAACAAUUCCAUAGGACCUCUUGGUGUUUGUCGAGGUCCUCUAUCAUCACGCAAAUGAUAUCUCUCACCUCGAUAGGGUGCCAAGAAUUCAGGCACUUUUGAAUAUCCAACAUCCACAACAAUACCCUGUAAUUGUAAUUUAUUACUUGCAAGACACAAAUAAUGUACAUAAUAAUAUUAAUUGUAAUCUUAUGUUUAUACCUUCUUCUGGAAAAGGAAACUCUCAUUUUCUGGCCUUAUCACUGCAUCUAUGAACACCCUAGAGUCAUUUGCAGUUCCUUCCCAGCCCGUAUAAACAAAAGUGAACAUCAUGUCCAAAGAGCAAGCACACAUGGCCUUUUGAGUAAUAAGAAUCUUCCUACCAUGAUAUGAGGUUUGCUUUUGAGUUGGUGCCUAAGCAACAACAUGAGUUCCAUCAAUUGCACUAACACACUUCUGCGAUAAAUUCAUAUAUUUACAAACUAUAAAGUAAAUAUAAUUUAAAAUAUAUAAUUAUAAUAAUAAAAUAAAUAAAAUUAACAAUUGAUUUCUCACCUCAAAAUAAGGAUAAUACUUUAGGUUAUUCAAAAUUUCAGAAGGUGUUUCCUCUCGACUUUGUGGCCUUAUAAUACGUGGUGCUAAAGCACAUAAAGCUCCCAAAACACACUAAAAUUGUCUAUGAAUUGUGUCUUUAGAUCGUUGGAAAUGAUCAACAGCCAGUCACAUGCAGAUAUUAUGAGACACUAUAAAUAUGAAAAUUGCCAUUGCCUUAUAAGUACCCACAUUUCUAUCAUUCUGUGGCAAAUUUAAACUCUCAAGUGUGUAACGCAACCUUUGGAAUACAUGUUUGUACAUGUGAAACGAGUCUUAAAUCCUAUCUGCUGGAUGCCCAUUCAAACAUAUUCAUGCUCGGAUAAAACAGAAUUAUGACAUGGAGUUCUAUGUACAUAUGAUUGCCAAUAUUCAUAAAUAUGCAUACAAAUUAUCAUAUGAUGCACCAUUUCCUUCGGAUCUGAAUCACUAUCGGAGUGAUUGUCUUCAUUCCUUAUAGACAUGUCUAGUACCUUCAAGUAUUCAAAUUCAAUAAAGAAUUAUGCAUACAAAUUAAAGUCACAAAAAUCUAAAAUAUGCAUACAAAUUAAAGUCACAAACAUCAAACAGAAUAAGAAGAACAAUUCAUUAGUAUUCUCUCAACAAUAAACAUAAGUAGCAAUCCUAAAGACUAGCCAACCAAACUCUCCUCCUUUCUUCUGGCAUUAUAACAAAGAUUUUCCUCCAUUCAACAAUCACUAUCUUUUCUAGCAUCUUGUCGAUGUAUUGUUAUCAAUAUCUCCCAUUGUCUCAACAAUUCCUAUGCAUUCUUCAAUCGAAUACAUUUCCUUAGAGGUGCUAGAUGCCUCAAGCAAUGGCCACAGCAGCAAGCAACAACAGCAACAAUAGAAGCUACUCUGCCAUCUUCUGCCGCUUCCAUCUGUCUAGCCGUCAUGUCACGACGACAACCCGCAAACAAAAAGAAAAAGAAAAAGGCCACGCUAGCCGCCGCUACCAUCGAUACCGAUCAUGACAACAACUAACCGGGCCCACCUAGUUGGUACUCAUGUCGAAGAAGAAAAGAAGAAGAAAAAAAAAUCAAAUUCGAUUUACCUUGGGGUGUACGGCAACUCCUCUCUUCAACAAGCAGUACAAUUCUCCAAGAUCUCUCUCAAACUAGAAAGCAAAGAAGACAAGUUUUCAAUUUGAAGAAGAGCGAAAAGAAGCUUUGUAUUUAUAAAGAUUGGGCAUCCUAGGUCAAGAAGGAAGCACGAGUUCAUUUCCAUUAGGAGCUCAACUCAAGAAAAAGUCAAAAGCCUACUCCAAUUAGGAGCCCAAUUGGCAAAAGGAUUCCAACUCAAAGAAGAAAGCCCAAAUGCAGUUGGAAAGCCCGAAAAGUAUUUCUCACCUCCUCUACACCUCACAAGCGCCAUGCAAAAGUUGGGGGACAUUUGUGGGAGAAAAUAAUCAAGUUUCCAAUCAUAAGGUGCCACAUGGACAAGAAGAAUAUCUCCUAUGUCAAUUAAUUGAGCCCAUUUAUUUGGCUAAUUAGUUGAUCUAAAAAUAGGGAUAUUAUCUUAAAUAUGGGAUAUUAUCUUUAUUUGGGAAUAUAAUUACCAAUUAAAAGAUAAUAUCAUCAAUUUAGGAUAUUAUCUUAAUUGGGAUAUAUUAUCAUCAAUCAAUGAUUUAAUCCCAAUCAAAUUCUUAAUUGACUUAAUCUCUCCAUUUAGGGGAAAAAAUAUCUUCCUUCCAAAUAAGAAGAUAUUCUUUGAAAAUCUCUCCAUUUAGGUAAUUCCGAAACCUAGCAAGAAUUCACCAAAACCUCUCUCUCUCUCGCCGACGGCCUCUCUCACUCUUAUCUCUCUCACACGGCCAAGUGCCACCACACACGGUUCUGGCCCCCUGACUCUCCCCCGGAGAGAAAGCUCUGUACCUUUUUAGUUAUUGCCACAUAUUUUCUCAAAGAUCCAAUCGAACUAACUUAGGCAUCCGAGGGACUUUGGCCAACAACUUCCGGAUAUAGUUUUUUACUCAUGUUUGUUUCGUAGGAACGAGGAAGAGAGAGAAGAAAGCUCAAAAGGUGAAGGAUCUACAUGCGAAUACUCUUCCUUGAGAAAUUUGCAUAAACAGAAGAAGUGUGACAUAUUCUUAAUUCAAAAAUAUCCAUCCGAAACAAGGAAAAAAUUGUAAAACUAAACUUAUGAAAUUAUACCUCUAUUCUGGUCAGCAUGAAUGGAUAUGUCCAAACAAAUUUUAAUCCAAAAAGAAAAAUCAGAGGUGAAGGUUUAGGGUUUCACAAACAGAUCUACUAAGUAAAACGAAUUAACAUAUGAUAUGGGCAAAAUAAAGAAAUGAGACCAAGAUAAAACUUCUAGAAACGUGACAAAUUGUCCUUUGAAGUAAUUUUACGUAAGCAUAACAAUUCGAAAUAAAAGAUAAACAAAUAAAAAAUCCUAUGAAUGUGGAUGGGACGAGGAAAAUUGAAGCUGACAAUAAAGGUUACUUGGGAUAUAUCCAAAGAAAAAAAAAGAAGAGAAAUACUACUUUUCCUUCCUUGUUUUACUUUUCUCCCUCAUUAAUUGUACUUAGCUUUAGCUCCAUGCAUCUUCUCCUCCUUCACAGCAGCCUAGGCCAUCAAUCACGCUAUGAAAAUGGUUACGUGGCGCACGCCUGGUUGUGUAUGGACUGUUUUUCAAAAUCACGAGUGUUCUUAAUCAACGUUUUAAUUUGAUAUGGUUGGCAAUUUUCCAAUUCUCCCAGUCUUGCUACUUUGACUAAAUUAAUAUCUACUUGUUUUUUUAUGUUUGCAAGUAAUAUGUACUCGUGCCAGUAUUCAAAGUACCUGCUAUUACAAAUAAACCAAUGUAAACAGGGACUAAGCGUUUAUGGCCCGUUUCCUAGUAUUGAUGACCUAUCAUCUAAUGUUUGGGUUUAAUCCAAAUCUCUCUAGAAGUUUUUUUUAUUUUUUUUUUAUUUUUUUAUGAGGGUUCAAAUGUGACACCACUUGUCUACAAGUUAAGGUCAUUUUCUAUUGCGCUAGAGACUCUAUUGGCCUCUAAAAAAUCUUUUAGUUACUUCUUUAUUAAUGUAUACACGUGACUAGAGACCAUCUAAUAGUUAUCACAUUUUCCAUUUACAUGUGUGUCUGUGACUAAGCUAACAAUUGUAACUAUAUAUGUUUAUCCAAUUGAUCACUUUUUCUACACUUAUCUACAUGUGUGUCUGGCCUAUAUGAUGACUUUAAUUUUUCUGGAUUGAAUUUGAAUUUUCUGUAAUAUAAAUUUUUUGGGAUAAUGUGGGGACUUCAUUGCAGGUCAAUGACGUUAUCUAGGACCAAAUAUUACGAGUAAUUUAUUAGUUUCCCCAGGGUCCUGUUUACGUGUUACCAUGGCAGCUUAGACCCGUAAUCAAAAUAGCAAGAAAAGAUCAAAAGUUAGGCACGCUACAAGCCCUAUAUAAAGCACCCCCUGGCACCCAAGUUUAUCAUCAUCCUUCUCACCAAAUUACAAGUUAAUUAAGUUUAUCAGCAAGAGCAACAGCAAGCCAAUUAAGACAUUUCCAUGACGAUGAUGAAGAGCCAAGCAGCUCUCCUCGGCCUCACCACCUUGGCCAUCCUCUUCUUCUCAGGUAUAAUAUUAUACAAACUUUGUUAGGUGAUCAGAUAUCGAUCAAAAAGUUUAUUUUUACAAUUGUCUCUGUAAUCUUUAGUCUUAUGAUCAUGGUUUAAUGUACUUUGAAUAUGCAGGUGCACAUGCAGCUAAAAUCACUUUCACAAACAAAUGUUCCUACACUGUCUGGCCAGGAACCCUAACCGGUGACCAAAAACCUCAAUUAUCACUCACCGGGUUCAAGUUAGCAACCGGAAUUAGCCGCUCUGUGGACGCACCGUCCCCAUGGUCCGGUCGCUUCUUUGGCCGAACCAGGUGCUCCACGGACGCGUCAGGAAAGUUCACUUGUGCCACAGCAGAUUGUGGUUCUGGCCAAGUCUCAUGCAACGGUAACGGCGCAGCUCCGCCCGCUACAUUAGUAGAAAUCACUAUUGCUUCGAACGGGGGUCAAGACUUCUACGACGUUAGUCUUGUUGACGGCUUCAACUUGCCCAUGUCCGUGGCUCCACAAGGCGGCACCGGCAAGUGUAAGGCCUCAACUUGCCCUGCCGAUAUUAACAAAGUGUGCCCGGCUCCGUUACAAGUGAAGGGAUCUGAUGGAAGCGUAAUUGCGUGCAAGAGCGCUUGCUUAGCAUUCAACCAGCCAAAAUACUGUUGCACUCCACCUAACGACAAGCCGGAGACAUGCCCUCCCACUGAUUACUCUAAGCUCUUCAAGACCCAGUGCCCUCAAGCUUAUAGCUAUGCUUAUGAUGACAAGAGCAGCACCUUCACAUGCAGUGGUAGACCUGACUACCUCAUCACAUUCUGCCCAUAAGCAUAUAUAUAUAUAUAGAAUGGGAUCUUAUAUGAUAUGAUAUUAUACAUAUAGUUCCCAAUAAAUAAAUUUCCUGGAUCUUGACACAUUGUUGAUGUCAAGAAUUUGUAAUGCAGACGAUCAAAUAAAGGAAUAAAUGUUUGGAUUUUAUUUUC
rnacentral:lncRNA from 1 species